UGGGGGUACGUCUCCUCUGGGUGUGCUAGCACCACUGGACAUUCCAUCGUCCCUAUGGUCAGAGAGGGCAGCAUCAGAGAAUCCAUGAUCAGAAUGAUGACUAUCUCCACUUCCACCUUCGCGAUCCAUGAAAUUAUCCCCUGUCCGAAUCCUCGACUUAACUUUGUUGCUCACCUUGGUGGCCUGCUUUUAAUAGUUCCACAAUCAAAAUAUGCCAAUCUAAAGCAAAAAGUGCAAAAACCAAAAGCAAAACUAACCAAAUUUGAUAUCUUUGAAGCAAUUGUAGCUUGCAGAGGCUGCUGAGAAUCAAGCCCAAGUUUAGCUGUAACAGUAUUCCUAGGCCUGUUAAUGUUGGAAUCAGUAUCCGAAUUCUUAGUAUCCCACAAUGCAGCUCUUGUUUCUUGAAACGGCCGAGAAUCAGUAGACACACAAACGAUCCCAACCAAAGUACCAUCAUCAUCAUAGAAUGGGGUAUUAGUUGCCACAACUAAAACCCUUUCCUCCGUUUUAGUCUUUGCCGGAAACUGCCCUGUCCACCUCUCUCCCAUCUUUAUACGAUGAACUAUAUCGUAGGCCACAUCAAAGUCCCGACCAUCAGUUAAAAGUUCAAUAGCAUCCUGACCAAGUGCCUCCUCAGCUGAGUAACCAUAAAGCAAUUCCGCUGACCGGUUCCUGCAUAAGCAAGCAUUCGCAAAUAAAAUACCCCUAACUUCAAAUUAAUACUUAAAAACACAUUUUCAUCUAUUCUUUAAUUUAAUCACAACCUCACUUCAUCAAAGCCAAUUAUAAUAGUUAUACUCACCAAUAAAUAAUACGAUCGCUAAGAUCAAAUAUAUGAACAGAUUGCCCCAUAGAUUGCAAAAUAUUCAAAUACUGCCUAUCAGUAAAGUUAAAAGCCGAUGGUCCACUGUUACUAUUUCCAGCAGCAUCACUACCACCACUAUCGCCGCCUUUGCUUUCGCGUUGCAACGGCGAGGAAUGUCUAAACGACGCCGAAUUGCUAGCCUUCCACGCUGAAGCAGCGUCCGGUCCCGUCCCGCCCCCUUUUCUCCUGGAAGCGGGCCCCGCCAACCUCGGCCGCCUCGGCGACACCGAAUGCGACCUCUGUUGGUGGUGAGUCGUAGUAGUAGUAGUAGUAAUAGUUUCCGAUUUCGGAUCGUUUGAGAUUUUCAACUUGGACAGCUCUUGCUUCAAGUGCUCUUGUCCAGCUUCUAGCUCUUGAAUCUUUCUUAGGAGCUCUUCAGCUGGCCCCGUGUUUGCGUCCAUUACAAGUCAAAAACAAAUACAAAACAAAUAUGUAUAAAGUUUCAAAGAUUCAAGAAACUUACGACUCCGAAGUCCAAACAAAACGAAGCUUUGUUUGUACAAGGAGAAAUGAAAAAUCAGUAUUCAUUUACUGAAUUUUUUUAUUUUAAUUUUCAUAUAUGUCUUGAAAACACUCUCUAGAAACUCCUCUUAUCUAAUUUGUGCAGUCAAUUCAUUGCAAUGAAAAUGAAUGAAGAAGAAAACAAGAAGCUCUCUCUCUCUCUCUCUCUUUUAUUUGGGGCUAAUUUUUAUUUUUUAAAUAUAUCUCUUUUUCAACUCCUUCCUUUUCCUUUCUUUUUAGGUCUUCAUUUCAUUUUGUUUAUUCUGCCUUCCUUUCUUUCUUUCUUCAACUUUCUCUCUCUUGUUUUGGGCGGUUUGGUUUUGUUUUUAUAUUGAGAAUAAUAACAAUGGGAUUCCUAGUUCUUUAUAUUUUCAAAAUUAAUGUUAUUGUUUAUCCAUUUCUACCAACUAGGUUCCUAACCCCACCACCAUCGCAAUUAACAUAUAAUAUUAGAUUUUUAGAAGAAUAGUCAAAAUUCAGUUUACUUCAAUUUUUGUGGUAAUGGAGUAAAGAUGAAAAUUACUAAUUUUUUAUACUUUUGAUUUAUGUGUUGAUUUUUCUUUUUCUUUUUCUUUUUUUACAAUGAAUUAAAAUCGAACUGAAUUGAUCAGUCCGUUCAAUUUAAUUCAAUUAUGUUAUUUUUUUAUCCACUUUUAAUUAUGGUCUUCUCAAAAAAUAAGAGUACAUGAAUGGUAACAAAUUAGUUCAGGCCAAAAAAAAAAAUAAAAAAUAAAAAAGUUUGAUUUGAUUUUUCUAAUUUUGAUGAUGUUAAAAGAAAAUAUAAUUUAAAUCCAAACAAGAUAGGGCUCACUGAGAAUGAACAUUAAUUAUAAAAAUGAUAAAAUUAAUCAUAAUUAUUAUAAUAAGUGGGAUUCAAAAAAUAAGUAAUUUGAUAAAAAUAAAAAAUUCAAUAGAUUUUGGAGGAUAUAAAAAUAAGUUCGAAUUAAUAAUGAGAUUAUUUGUGAUUCCCGGAAAUUUGGAUUUAUUUUUGCACAAAUGAACAAACUAUGUAAUCUUUUGUGAAAACAUAGAAAAGCAGGGGGAUCCUGGUGUUAUUACUCCUUUGUGUUUUAUUGAAUUUCACCUUUUAUUUUCUUUUUGUUUCUCUCUCAUCUAUCUCUCCAUUAUCAUUUGACUCCAACUAUUUAUUAGACCAGAGCCGGAUGUUUAUUUAUUCUACAGACCAAGCCGCUCUUUCCACGCGCCAAAAAAUCACGUGGAAAGUCAUGGCCUAUCGCGGUGCCUGAUUUUUAACUACUGGUCCAAUACUCUUGGCGCGUUUAGUACAAUCAAGAUUGGGAAUAUGUUGAAACUUAUUCGACUUUUAAUAUUAUGGCUUCUCCUUUUCAGCCAAAAGGCCUCCAUAUUGGGCUGCCCUAAAAGCGUAUAUUUUCACUUCUGUUUCCGAUACUUCCACGACACCCAUCUUUUGUGAGUUCAUGCAGAGUCAUUUAGAUAAUAAUAAUAUUAUUAUUACUUUUAAUAAUGGGUUUAAUAUAAUACCCAAAUUGAGGUUAGCUUCAUUCUUGGAUUACCUAAACAGCAAUUGCACAUUCAUUGGACUGACUUGGAUUUCACAACACAAUGAACUCACACCAUUGUUGAAAUAAAUUAAUGUCAAUUGUUACCUAGUAAAAAAAGUACUUCCCCGAUUAAUUAGCUAAAUUCAACUAGUAAAAUUUCAUUGAGUACUACAAAGGAAAAAAAAAACUCGAUUUGAGAUAAAUUUAUAAAGGAAUAACUAAAUUCAACCUGAUAAAUUCAAAAAAUCAUGAAUUAAAUCGUUAAUUUUUUAAUUUUAUUUGCAAAAGAGUCAAGAAUCGAUUGAUCAAUUUUUACAUGAUUAGUUGUGAAAUAUAUGUGAAAAUAAUCUAACGGAUAAAAAAAACGUACACUAAAAGACCUAAAACUCUCCCCUCUCCUAGUAGGUCAAAACAUUUCAAAUCGAAUUCCACUCGAACAAAGAAAAAAGAGACCUUAAACUAAUGCAAACGGGUACAAUUAGAAAAUGUAGUUUUGUUGUAUAGAGCGGCUUAAGAAGAGAAAAAUUAAGUUUGCUUUUGGGCAAGUCGAUCUUGAAAAAUGGGUCCGACUACGGUAUAAUAGUGGUACCAUACUACUAUUGUAUUCAGUCAUUAAAUUUAAUUAAAUAAAUAAAUCUAUUGAGAUUUAAUUAAAUAAAUGAAUCUAUUGAGAUUCAAUGGUGCACCGUAAAAAAGUUUUCUGCUCAAAGAAUUAUGCUUGAAAAGGAGAAGAAUCUUUAUGGCAACACUUUUUAAUUAUUAAUAUGUCUAAUAAAUAAGUCUCCAAGUCGUCAAAUUUCAAUUCAUUCAAUCUGAACUUCCUGCAAGAGAAAGCAAGCAGGAAUUAUAGCUCUGACUUUUUCCUUUUUUUUUUUCCAGACCCAUAUACAAUGUAGCGAUUUCCGUGUCCUCUUUCUUUAUCUUGGUCUUAUCUUAUCAAUUUUUUUUUUUUGGGAACUUGGAAACGAGUGUCACUCUAGAAACUUGUUUUUUUUUUUUUUCUUUUUUAGGUGUUUAAAUCUUUGUUUGCGUGCACAGCAUCAUUAAGCUCAGGGGGGCGCACGCACACAAAUUUAGUGUGACAAGAGACAGAGGCCCAGUUUAAUUUAUGGCUGUCAAAAAGUUUUCUAAAAAAUGGAAACUUCCAAAGCGUUUAUUGCGAUGCAUGCCAUCUGCCCAUCUCGUUAUCUUCUUCAUGCGUGACCCAUAAAUUUGGAGAUAAUGUUGUAAAACUCAACAUUCUAUUACAACUUUGAAUCGAUUGACCUUUUUCAAGUUCUGCCUCAUCACUAAUCAGACAGCAAAUGCCUCUGGCUUUUUCAUUUUUGGAACCUGUUUGGUAGGCUGCUUACAUAAGAUUUUACAUUGAAUCUCGCCUUGGAAUUAGGUGAGCGAACCAUUUUGUUUUGGAAAAUUAAGUCUAUAUAAACUUAUCAAGUUGUGUUUCUCAUUUGUUAAAGAUAUUCUUAUUUUUGCCUGCAAAUGGUCAUCUGGGUCAUUAUACGGGUGGGCAUUCGCGUUUUGGUUGGUCCUAAUUGUUAGCAAAGCUCAUGAACUUAUCCAUAUUCUUCUUCUUAUCUUCUGAGUUGCCCUAUUUAUAUGGAACGUACAAAUUCCACCACGUGAGCAAGAGAAUUUACAUUAUCGAACAUGAGAUAAAGUUCUAGCAUUCAGGGAGUAACACCGGACGAUAUGUUACAAUUAUCAUGGGAGCUUGAUAUGGUACACAUGUAAUAUAAUCUAGAAUACAUGCUUACAACAGGGGAAACAAGUAAUUUAAUCCGCCAGUCCGCCAUGACUUUUUGUUGUGAAACCUCUACAACCUACAAGACUACAACAAUCUCAAGUGAACCCAGUCAUCUGAAUCCUUGAUACGUGAGGCCGCACAACAUUCAUGAGAUCUGGAAGCUUCAUGUGCAAGGAUGUUGAUAACAUUACAGAGCUGGGUAACCAAAAGUUCAUAGGAUUAUUAAUGCCCAUUGGCCAAAUCUACCUGGGUUAUGCAUUACAUCUUCAAAACUAUAUGGAGGAUUAGGCACCUGACGUUAAGUCCGAGAAAGGUCCUGAUUUUGUGCAUCUCAAGUGGGAAUAAUCUAGUCAGUGAUACUCUUUGAGCCUCUCCGAGGCAUGGGAAGUUCAAAAAUAAUUAAGAAAUAGCAUCUUUCGGACUCUCUGAUAUAUUGGACUUCACCAUUCAUUAGCUUCAGAAUCUUCCGGCACAUGCUCAGCCCUAAGCCCUCCUGUGUCAUCCACCGACUGCUAUGGAACAUGUCUUGCACCAGCUCAGGAGGAAGCCCUUCACCAGGGCAUACCAUCCUUUGUAAAGUGCAUUUAUGUUAGUUGACUCAAAGGGCAUCAAGAGGAUUUACAUUUAAAACAAUACUGAACAUAAACAAAUAUCCUCACACUGUCACAAUUCGUGAUUUAUACUUUGCAGUAUACAAUGUCUUCUUACGGACAAAACCAAGAAACAAAAUAUCCUAAUCCAAUAUCAUAGCACAAAACUUAGUCAAGGAAACAGAAAGUAACAAAAGGUUUCUUUACUACACAAUCAACUCUGCACUGAGAGCUACCAAAAGUGAAGGUUGUUUAGUUGCUAUAGCAUGAAAUUUCUACAUAAUAAUUCCAUUAGAGAUUGUUGCAGAACUAAAGGCCGCAGCUGGCAGGUCCAGUCAGACUUGAGAACAAAAUUAUUUAGAUACUGAAAUUUCAAUAUACCAAAGUCAAAGCUCGUGAGUCAAAGUUCAAUCAGUCAACUACCUACUUACCCAAAAAACCAAUGUCCCAACUGUGGCAACUCGAUGCUGCUUAUAAAAUGACAAAAGCUAAAAAGCAAGAUGCAAGAGAAACGCAGCUAUAAUUUCAAAUAUUGCUUGAGUCACCAGGCUUGAAGCAGGCUCAGAAGCCACAAAGAAGUCAAUGAAAUAGAAUGCCCAGGGACCUUAACACUUCAUCUGACAAUUAAGGCUACCUCAAACACACCCAAAAGAAACAAAAAUAAUGAUGUGCAGCCACAAAUCUCCAGUUCAGAUGUUCGCAGGUGGCAGGCCAACCAUGUGGGCCAAAGCAAGGUUAUUUACAAUGCCUAUGAACUUCUACCAAAGUGCAUGUUGCAUAGCCAUAUUGCCCUAAAGCAAAUUAUGAUUUAUACUUGCUAUUAUAUAUAUAUAUAUGACUGAAAAUAUAGAGUUGGUAACUUGAUAAAUUAUCUAGCACAAACAAAAAACUUAACAAAGAUAGAGCAAGACAAAUGAUUCGGUCCAAGUUACAUAGAGAGUCAAGCACUUAAACAAGACUCAUACCCGUGAAAUUAGUGCCAAUAUGUAGUAUGUAUACUGACAAGAUUGGUUCCCAAAUUCACAAGUAUUACUCUUGUGAAUGAUGGAGAUAAAAUACUUCAAAGGAAAUCAUAUCGGAGAACAUUUAUAUAGCCACAGCCAUCACAGUUUCUUACUAUGAAAGUACUAGGAAAGUGUUAUUAAGGUCAUUAGAGUUAAAUGUGAGUGGAGUUACUAAGGCCUUAUUCUUUUUGCUUUCAAUCAAUGACAUGGACCUUUCCACAUGUUAUUAGAAUAACCAAUAAGUAUGAUAUUGAAAUGAGGAUGGGGCAAACAAACCUGAAUUCAUUAUGUACAAUGGUUUGUCCCUCAGAACUUUGCUUCAAUGUUGGACGAACAUGGAUCUCUACCCAACCCUCUGCUGAUGGUGAAUAACGUACCAUAUUCAACAAAAAGUCAGCCAAGACCUGCUGAAUUCUUGCCUGAUCACCAUAAACAGCUAGUGUCUUGAUUUCCUCUGGGAUAUCUCGAAUCAACUGAAGAUUUCUUUCCCUCAGCAACAUCAUCACUUGGCUAACAACAGCAUUUAUGACACUCCCGAGUAAAAAUUCAGCCUUCUCAAACUCCAAUGAACUGACUCCAAAAGUAAAUAAAAAAUGAGAUCAUCUUUCUCAUUAGCAAAAUUUUUCAGGAGGUUCAGAUGAUUAGUAGAAGAAUACACUAGAUUAUAAUAGUUUAGAAAUAAAUAAAAACAGAAGAUCACUAGCAAUAUGAAAAGAAAACAAAAGUCACAAGGAUGAUUAAUCAGUUCUACACUGGAAGAAUGUGGCUGAAAUCCUAAAACCACGACACCCUUAUAUGACAUGGCUUACAAUAAUUGAGUUCUUGUUAACUCUAGUUUCCUACUUGGUAUAACUAGGACAGUCUUCUAGCUACUCUUUCAUUGUAAACGAAGCUUUUGUACAAUACAGAAAGAAAGAAAAGCAAGAACUAUCAACAAACAAAUGAAGAUAAUUUGAAAGCAGCAACACUCAAACAUGUAUAUUUACACGAAAUUAAAACACUUGUUCCUGCAUCACAAUAGAUGUGAUGAGGGUUUUCCAUCAUGAUCAAAGUUAAGACUGUUCACAAGGUGAAAAAAGACUCACCCAUCUUCAAUGCUUUCUAGGUCCACAUCCUUUAUGAUCUUCAACAUCUGCUUCUCACAGGCAGCACUUGUCUCAAGUAACUGUUUCUGAUCUUCUGUCAAGUCAGUGGCCUCCAAGAGUGAGUUAGUAAAGCUCACACCACUCAAUGGAUUCUUUAUUUCCUGGCAAAUGUAAGCCAACUCUUUCAACCUAGCAAAGCACUUCUUUUCCUGUUGCCUCUGAACUGUAAGAGCUUGCUGCAACUCUGGACUAGCAAUUUGCAAGAAGCAGAAAGCUCCUACAAUCUGCCCUUCCAUAUUUACCCUUUUGUUGGCAGUCAAAAGUGCUUGCACAUAUUUUCCAUUCCGGUCAAACAAGGGAAAAGGAAACUUCUCCGUGUCCUGCCCUCCAAAUGCAUUGUGCAAGGCAAUCAUAAAUUUUGUCAAAGCAUCAGGACCCUUGAGACGACAGCAACUUCCGAAAACCUCCCCAACUAACAUCUUCCCAAUAAUAUCUCCUCGACUCCACCCAGUGAGCUUCUCCAUGGCAGUGUUCCACUCCGAGCAACAAGUGUUUUCAUCUGAAGCAAAUAUGGGAGGGAUCAAAGGAUUGGGACUGUGAACAAUGGCCUUGUAAUCACCUUGUAUGUGAAUAAAUUUGUCCAUCACCAAUUUCUGAUCGGUAACAUCCUGACCCACAAAGCAAACUCCAACAAUAUUAUUUGUGUAAUCCUUGCUGGAGCAAGCAUUGACCACCACAAAGACCGCCUUCUUACGAUUUUCUGCACCAAAUGUCCUCAAUUUUAUCUCUACAUUCUUGUCUUCCUCACCUGCACAAGUGAACUUGAGUCAUUUACACUAGUAAAAGCAGUUUCAGAAGCCGACAAUAAGUAUUCUCUUUCAAAUGCUAAUUAAUUAAUCACCAGCCGAUGAGAAGUGUGUGACUGUUACCUUCCAACUUAUGAAUGAGGAGACUCUCACUUUAGACGUAUAUUUCUCAUGUAGAAAACUACUGGGGCAACACAGCCAUGUUCCAGCUAAUUAUUUCAAGGUGGCUGAGUUAGGCUCCUCAUACCAAUCUCAACACUCACCCCACAUUCCUGGUUGAACACUGAAUAAAUUGACCAGUGCCAAUGUACAUAUAUGGAACCACAUAAUGACUUCAAUCAGGUUUGAGACUCUAUUUUACAUCUUUCCCAUCUCAAGCGUCUAAAAUGAACUUUACCAUUUCAUAGCAUGUGCGGACACUAUUUAAGUACAGUCAAUCAAAAGGCACUCAGAGAACACAUGCAAAUUAAAUCAGUGAAACAUGAUUUAUAUUGCAUAUUAGCUACCCAAUUUUCACCCUCAAUAGCAUUGGAGAGCAAAAAUUGACCUGCUUUAAGUUUCCAUUUGUCAUUUCUGUAAACGAUUUUGGCAACACCCAUUUUCAUUUUGGAAAGGUUUCAUUUCUGAUAUGCACACUCAACUGACAAGGAAAAUGGAAUAGAAAUUAUACAUACCUACAAGAUGUCAAAACAUACUUGGAAAAUGCUCUGAAUUAGCACAAGUUAAGAUGCUGGAUAAAGGACUACCUUUUAAAGCAUGAUGAAGAAGAUUGUCAACGAUUUCUUCAUAUUCCUUAUAAACAAGAUCAUGAACCAAGGACUUCCCCAUAGCUUCCUCAACUGACAGCCCAGUCAACUCUGCAACUUUUGCAUUCCACCCAUUGACACGGCCAUGAACAUCAACAGCAAAUAUGGGGGCAGUUGCAGUCUCUAUUAAUCUUACCAUUUCCCUGGCAACUGAACUGAGCUCAUCCACCCCUUGCAACUCUAGAUCUACAAGCUGGGCAUUUACAACAGCCUUAGAAUUGCUUGCUUCAGCGUCCCUAAAUGAGUCUCGCAGAAUCAGCUGCAAAGAAUGAAUUGCAUCCAUUUCUGCAUUAUCCCAUGGCAAACUGCGGCUCUUCACCACUUCCAGAAAUGCCUUGAAUGAAGAACGUGGAUGCAUCCUUUGCCCAUCAUCCUUGUCCUCUGGGUGAUGUUUUGCACCACCCCAUUUGAUCUCCUUUGCUGUGUGGGACCGGAACCAGAAUAGAAAAUCCCUUUUAGUGAUGUAGGCAACAGCCAUUCCACAAACUGCAUCACCAAGUGUGGCUGCCUUAGGGUACCCAGCAUCAGCCAAACUGUCUGUGCUUAAACCAGUUGAGUCUCCAUGGUAAGUCAGCAGCCAUUCCACUAUAUCCUUUAUCUGGGUUUCAGUUGGGGUUACACCAAGUGGGUAAUAUUUUCCUUGGUAGUACAGUGCUGCCCCAUCACACUUCACAAGGUCCAUAAUACUAGGGCUCUGAGUAACAAUUCCAGCAGGAGAGUCACGAAGAAGCAUAUCACACAAAAGAGUCUGGGUCCUCAGAACAUGCUUCUCAGACAACUGUGAAGCUAAUUGCAAUUCCAUGUUCAGUUGGAGUCCAAAAGCUUGCAUUAGGAACUCACAGGCAUAACGAAGUGGAAAUGGAAUGCACCGUGCAGAAGUGUGAUGGCAAACAACCAACCCCCAAAGCCUCGUAGUGCUCCUCCCACCAACAGCUUCCUCAUCGUUUCCAUUAAUAAUAACAGCCAAAGCCAAUGAAGCAAUCGACCCCAUAUUAGCCAUAUACUGAGCGUGACAACCAUGCGGAGCCCUAAGUGUUGAACCUACUAAACACAAAGGUUGCAUAAGCCCUUCAUCCUGAAUGACACAAAGUGGAGUGGCGUGACAAUCAACAAUCAUCCUAACCCUAUUCUGCUUGAAUAAAAACCGUGAAGCCUGCGGAAUAUCAGUAGCCGGAUAAUGUAAUCCAAAAUAAGGCUCCAAAUCAGGCCUUUUACUCUCAGCCACAACCUCACCAUGUUCAUCCUCAUGAAACCUAUACACCAUAACCCUGUCGUACCCGGUAAGCUGUCUCACACUCUCAACAACAGUAUCACACAACAAUUUAAUAUCCCCACCAGGAAGCGAUUGCAAUUGAGAAAUCGCGCGCACAGCCAAUUUCUGUGACUGCACAGCUCCAGCAAUAGACAGAGCAGGAUCCUCUGUCCUUGCAGGCUCUAAAUCAAUAACUAUCCCUACAUCGACCCUAUGCAAAAUCGCGUAAAAGGGUUUACCCGUGUUCUUCGAAUGAAUCCAAAUUGGGUUUAACAAAGUAAUUUCCCUAGCGCCAAAGGCUUUUUCAAGCAGAACUGAACUUGAUGAAGUGAAAAGCGUGCGUACGUCGGUCCCAAUUGUUAAAAUCUCUUGCUUCUCAAGAUUAGGCACAGAUUGUGGAGCUAAUCCUAACAUUUCGCCCGCGUUUUCACUGUAAGCAAUGACUCGAAAAGUGGCUUCAUCAACAGCUAUAGUACAACCAAAGGGCUGAAUAUGGCCACCCCUUUGAAUUUUCGACAAGUAAGCACUAAUUUGCUGCUCAGGAACUGAAUGACUCGUCGUUCUAACUGACUGUGAGUAAUCAAACGACUUACCGGACUCGCCCGACUGUUCAAACACAGCGUGAAGCCGAGCAUCCACUGUGUACUGAGCAAUGGCUUUGCUUACCGUCAUUGAUUCUGUGGCGUUGUGGUGGGCUCUUAUGUUGCUUGUGCCUGAAGAUUGUGCUGCUGAUUGACUUCUACGAUGCUGCUGCUGGUGCUGUGAAUUCGAAGCCAUUUCUUUUACUAUUUAGUUCUUCAGUGUUUACAGAUUUUGCAAAAUCCUCAGAUGACUGAACGUGAAAAAAUUUAGUAAAGAGAGCCAAAUGAUCAAAGAAGCAAGAUGAAAACAGAGGAUUUUUGUCAAUUGGGAAUUUUGGAUCAAAAAGUUGGAGGGGGUGAAAGGUUUAAGUUUUAGUGCUUUGAUACCCUAUGGCAGUCAGGUUGGUAUUAUUUAUCUAAUUGUCUUUUAAGUGUUUAAUUAAUUAUUUAAAGUAAAAUCCUCAUUAUUUAUUUUAUAUUUUUAUAAUUUUUAAUUUUUUUAUUAAAAUAAUUUUUUAAUAUUUAAUAAAAAAAUUUAUUGACACUUAAAUAAUUAAUAAAAUUAUUAAUAAAAUUUCUAAUUAAAUAAAUUUUAUUUAAAAAUUAUACUGAACAGAAUCUUAAUUAAUUUAAAAGGUUUGAUAUAUUAACUUAUCCUCCAGGCCUGAUGAAAUUAUAAAAUAAAAAUGUUGGUGUUUGUUGGUUUUAUUAGUAAAACUUGUAAUAAAAAUUAAACUAUAUCUUUAUUUGUGGAUUGACCAACAAUUAGGAAUCCAAAUAUUAUUAUGUCAAAAGUUCAUUUACCUUCUUCUUUUUCUCUUGGGAAGGUAUUUUAUUUAUUUAUUAUUAUUAUAAUAUUGUUUUUAGUUUGGGCACGUGAUUUUUCUUUUUCCUUUUUCUGAUCUGGAAUUAUUUGUGGGCGUUAAGAUAGCUACGGUGGUGGGAAAUGAAAGGGAACCAUUUGAUUGGCUGGCCCCUUGCCUCCGGUGUUGAGCCCUCACAGCAUAUAAUAUUUUAUUUGUUCUCUUUUUCUCCGCAUGCUGUUUUACGUGGCCAUAUAAUUUUUUUUUCCCCCUAAAAUUUGAAUUGAAUCUCAUUUUUUCUCAAGUCCAAAUGAAUUUAAAUAUAAUUGGCUAAAUUACAUAUUUAUUUUUUAAUAUCUGAAUAUAGGUGUUAUUCCGUUUAUUUUUAUAAAUAAAAAUAUCUUAAAUAUAGUAAUUUGAUAUUUUAUUCUUUUCAAACAAAACAAAAAAAAUUAGGUUUUAUAGUUUAAAAAAUAAAUAUAUUUAAUAGAGAUUUUUUUAAACAUAAUAUUUACUUCACAUUCAAAUUUUUUUUCAUUUAAAUAAAGUUAGCAAAAAUUUAUUUUUUUAUGUAAAUGUCUAAAAAUUAAACAUAAAUCACUAAAAAUAAAUAAAUUAAUUAAUAAAAUUUCAAACUUUAAACAUUUAACUUUAGUCUAUUCAUUUUAUAUUUUAAUCUAAAUAUACGCCAUCAUGAGCUUUUUUUCCCCCUUUUUCUAAAAGUUUUCUUCUUUUUAAACUUUGGAUUAUGAAAUAUAUUCGGCCAAUGCGCUCGUCUAAAAUGCUUCCACCUACACACUGUAAAAUGAAUGUUUGAGGCUCGAUCAACUAAGUAUCUAAUAAUAGAGUAAUGAUAUAGCCACAAAUCCUUGUACAAAUUGAUGUGGCACGAUAAAAUUGGUUGAAUUAAAUAUCACUUGACUCAUAUGAUUUAUUUUUAUUAAUUUAUAUUUUCAUUCAACCAAUGAAUUAAUGACACGUCAAGUUGUACAAAAUAAGUUUGUACAAGAGUUUAUGGCUGUAUCAUUACUCCUAAUAAUAUAAUGUUAAAUUAGUGUCAAAUUAUAGAACUAUAAUUGGUCAAUCGCCAAUGGAUACUUCUUCAGCGCUCAGACAUGUUAAAAUAAGAAUUUAAGUCGGAUCACACAUGCCUUCAAUCAACGUCUUCUUUAAUGCUAACGUUAGCUCUUUUUAAAUAUAUAAAUUAGGGCAUUAAUCAUAUAAUGCUUGGUGUUAAAUUAGAGAGUUUAAUACUUACAUUGAAGCAUUUUAAAUAUAUAAAUUUAGGUCUCAAUCAUAAUGAAUCGAGAGACAAAAUAACAUAAUCUAUCUUCAAAUCCGCCUUUCCAAAAUUACAAAUUUAGGAAUUCUCAAGUCUUUAAUUAUGGAAGGGCCUAAGUUACAUUAAACGUAACGGCCCUCUCACAGUAACGACGGCGCAAGUUACGUUCAACGUAACUUAGCGCUAGCCUUUUAAUUAUUGCAGCUAGUACAAUAAUCAUAAAGGCAUCGAUACACAGUAUAAAAGAGAGAUGGUUUUGUUUUUUUCACAGAAAAUGUCAACUUUGAUACCGGAUUUAAAACAAAAAACAAAAAAAAGGCGUCCCAAUUCAGUAAUUCACCGCUGAUAAAAGCACCGAUACUGUUAGAAAAUAUGGACAAAAAACUUGGAUAGAUAGUGUAUGUCUUUGUAAAGCGCCGUACCUUUCAAAAUUUCCACCAGCGCAUGAAAUGCCAUAACACACAGCGACAUUUGACGCUCUGAAAAGCACAAAAUGCAUUCCAGGCAACGUGACGCCCACGUGAAUAGAUGAUCAACAACAUAUUAAAAAGUAGAUUCCAUUACAAGAGCAUCAAUGAUUUAACUCUCCAAACGCUUUACAUGGAUUCCAAUGAAAGUUUUACAUAUAUUUUACUUUAAAAAGAUAAAUGGAACUGCAUGCUAUUUUAAUUUAAAUUUAUACAUAGCUAUAUCAUUCGCAAAAGUAGAACGAUUCCACGCGUACGGAAUUUGUUGGAACAUCUUGGCUCUUACUAAAAGCCGUCCAUUUCUAAUCAUGGUGGCUAAAAAUUUUAUUCAAAUAUUCAAGAAUGGAGAGAUCCUUAUACAACAAUGCAAGCUCUGCAUCUAGAUUUUGAAACAUCACUUCGUUCAAUUAAUGAUCUGAGAGUCGUAUCUUGAUGAACUUUCAACUUACAGACCAAAGUUUUCGGCUGGUACUUCAAAUUACAAAAACAGUAAUCUAAAAACCCAACAACAAUUCCAGCAAAAUACAGAUUUAAAGACUUCAAAAGGGAAAAUGUUUUGGAAAGCAUGUUGAUUAUGAUUUCCCACCUGUUGCCGGGAAGUGAAUUACUUGGUGUAGAGAACAUCUUCCCAUGGGUGACGGUAUAGAGGUUGUUUCAAUCUCUUCUGGUCAAAGGUAUGCCUGAGAUUUGAAUGAGAAGCAAUAAGUCAGAUGCAGGAUGUGACGAAAAAGAGGGAUAAUAUACAGAGAAACUGCAAUUUUCUCUAUAUCUAUGAGACACCAAAAUUGGACGUCAGAAUCACAGUCAAGUAAUCCCAAAGUACCAGAUAGCAUAAGAUUAAUGGAACCGUUCAUUUUCCGUUGUGAAGAAGUUGAAAUCACUAUCAGCAUGCAUAGCAACAUCCUAAUCUACAAAAGAAGUCAUCUGACCCUCACAGCAUCACAGCCAAGUGCAACAUAACUAAACACCCUAAACAUAUCGAAAGGCAUAAAAAAGCCACAUUGCUAUCACUAUUCGUAGCAAGAAGCAAUUCCAGAUAAGAAUCAUUGUGGUAACAAACACUAGAAACCAGAAACUCCAAUUUUCAUUAUUUUUUGUUCUCUUGAUAAACAAAGUCCUAUCCCAAUAUCAACAGCAAAGUUUUGCAAAGAAAGCAAAAGUUAAGCAUAUAGCCCAAAUGAGCUUAGAAAAGAAGUGUAAUUUUACUUACCCAAUCAAACCGAUGGAGCGUGCCAGAACAAAGAGCCCAUUCAGAUAUCCAAUUUCCACUAUCUCAUCGAUUUCUUGCUUGCUGAACAUUCCACUGCCAGCAAGAAGAUCCAAGAAAAGGGACCCAAUUGCACCAUCUACAUUAAGAACCAGGUUGUUUGCUUUUGAUAGAGUGUAGGUUUCAACUUGAACAGCAUAUUCCAUAUACUUCACAGAAGGGAAAUGAGUGCGUGCAAAUUUUUGUAGCAGCUCCACUCUUUUGUCUCUGUUAUCUCCUCUCUUGAUCCUUUUUCACAGAAAGCAAAUAGCAUAUCAACAUUGAUUUACAAUUAGCAACUAAUGCAUGAACAUUAAAUUUCAUAGAUCCAAGAUUUAAUAACACCUACAUACCUGUGCCCAAUUCCUGGCACACGUAUGCCCUUCUUUUUCAUUGAUUCAACAAAUUCAUAGGCUGAAAGACCCUGAUAAGACAGCAAAAGAAUAAAAUUUCAGAAUCUAGAAACUAUCAGAGCAAUCAGAGUAUUGCUUAAUCAUCUCACGUAAUCCACUAAACUUUACCCGGUCAUAAGCAUCCUUGAAAUAUCGGGCAGCAUCAUCAAUGGCGCCACCAAAUCGGGGACCAAUUGUGAGCAAACCUGUUUCAGAACCUCAUAAUUUAGUUCUGUCGUGUCAAUUCUCAAAUGAUAACUAAACUAUAAAUAUUUUUAAAAUGGGUGGGGUUUCCUUGACUUAAAUUUUUUAAUUGGAAAAAUCAUGACUUAAUUUGUCAUCCAUUGGAUCCAUCCAAUCCAAUAGUAGAUGGAUGAACACUUACAUGCAACUUUUUAACUUUAGAUCCACACCAUUGGAAAAGAGGAUAAUAAAACCAAAACCAGUUGUUUACCUGACACGAGGCUGGAAACAAGAUCCUUUCCAGCUCUUGCUGUCACUAUAGUGUUGUGAGCACCAGAAACACAGGGGCCAUGAUCAGCGCAUAACAUUAUGCAUAUCUGUCCAAGAUAAUGUGUAUCAUAUCUGUCCAAGAUAAUGUGUAUUAAUGGAAAAAAAAAAAUGAGCACCAUAUACUAUUAAUCAUGUGCUUUGACGCUAAUGGGGAAAAAGAGGAAUAAGAAAGCUAAACUGAAUAGAACUUUCCAUAGUACUUCAACGGUAGAAAUUCAAAAAAAGCUCUUCAUUGACAAUGAACCUACCUCAAUAAAUUGGGUACAGUAGCGGGGAAGGCUGCGUUUAAACCACAAAAGGGAAAUAACAUCACCCACACCAUAACCUUGUUCUACAAUUGAAGACAUUGGUACACCAGCAUAGCAUGGCUCCUCACCUACAGAUUAGCAUAAAGAAGAAUUUAAAGUUAUCAAAGCCAAACACCCAACUGCCGAUCAAAUCAAGACCAUAAAAAAAUAAGUACCUCUGUCAUCAGAGAUGGUUGAAAUAAUAUGAGUUGGAGCCCGUACUUUCCCACUCUUAAUGGCAGUGUUAAGAUCCUCAGGGAUUUGUGGUGGUGUAACUUCCUUCACUGGUGGAAUCUUCCCCUCUUCAACCUAAGGUAAAAUUCAUCCAUCCACAUGAAUAAGAUUAGUUAGGCAGCAUUAAAGAAAUUGUAGCCCUUUUGUCUUCCCUUGGUGGGAGAGGAAGGGAAAGGGGCAGGGGCAGACAAAGGGUCUUAGAAACUAACAAGUUUCUCAAAUGUCUCCUUAAUUGCAGAUUCAAAGGCUUCAUAUGAAGUAGGAACAACAGCUCCAGCAUCCCUUAGUGCUUGAUUCUUUGCCUGAGCAGACUCCAUCUCACCACCACUUUUAGCACCCUGAUUUAGUUAAUGACAAGGAAGAUUAUGGAUAUGCAGGCCUCAAGUUAAGAAUGCUAUGGUAUUGAAAAAUUAUCCAGGAAAACUUGAGUAAUAACUUACAGCAUGACCAAAUUGCACUUCUGAUUUGAAUAGUCGAGCACAGGUUCCACUGACCCAUGCAACCACAGGUUUGUUUACCUUUCCCUGUUUCAGAGCUUCAACAAGGGAGUACUCAUCCCGUCCUCCAAGUUCACCAAGAACAACCAUCAUUUUAACCUGGGGUCAGCCCCAGAAAAAGACAUUAGAAGGAAGAGAAAAAUAAGAAGAAAACAUUAUGUGCAAAAAGACUAAAGCAGAAAAAGCGGUAAAAAAAUUCUUAUAAUUUUCUUCAAGCAUGCCCUCUAGAGCAAGUAAACUGAAUUAAUUAACAACUUCAAGUUGCAAUAACACUUCAAAAAAUCAACAUUCACCACCAAAACAAUGUCUAUACAUACUACUUGCUACAGGUAUCCACAUGGCUUUGUCAAGACAUAAUUUUUCAUCAGGAAACACUCAAAGAAAUAAAUAGAAACACAAAUUUACCUGUGGGAUGUUGUUAAACCGCAAAAUGUGAUCAGAAAGAGUGGAGCCAGGGAACACAUCUCCUCCAAUUGCAAUACCUACAGAAUUUUGAAAAAUAUCCCCACAAUAUGUUCAAUCCUAAAUCAUUUUAGGCAGGCAAAAGAUGGAAUAAAGAUGCAUGCAGUGUACCUUCAUAGAUUCCAUCUGUUACACGAGCAAUAGUGUUGUAUAGUUCAUUAGACAUGCCACCCUGCAAUUGUCAAAAGGAACAUUAUUUGUCAAAGGUUCAAUCAUAUGGCAUAUUCAAACUAUGCAUCUCAAGAAAAUUACUGGUCAUAAUAAGAACUUAAUGAAUGGGUAGGUUCCAUUUUGAGCUCUACAUACAGACAAGCUCGAUCUCACUCGUCAAAAUUGUGGGGCAAAACUGUUACAUAGUCAACUACAUUGAAGAUCACAUGAUUUAUGUCGAGAAGGCAGUAAAUGAUACUCCAAAGGUUAAAGCAAUUUAGAACCUCAUAAAUGCAAGCAGCAUAUAGAUUUUUACUAUGAGAAUAUAUAAUCAGAGUGAUUAAAGCUAUCCAAAAAGAAUGAGCUUUUCCGUAACUAUUUCAACCAAAUUAGUAAAAAUAUGGACCAGUCAGUUUACUACUUGUUUCCCUCAUUAAAAUCUACUCUUUUUUAGGCCAUAACUUAAAAUGACUGAGCAAUUUCAAAUUUAAGUUUUUAGAUUCCCAACUGAACCAAAUGAUAAUGCUAAAGGAAAGAGUACAUACAGAUUUGGAGACAAAACCAACAGAUCCAGGCCUGUAGAGUUUGCAAUGAAUGAUGUUAUCAAUGGUUCCGGCUGUGUCACCUAUCUUAAAAGCUCCAGCUUGAAUUCCUCCAACAGUUGCUGGGCCAAUAACAACCUGCAAAAUGAUCAUUAUUAAAUUUUGUUACAGGUUAACAAGACAGGUAAUUAAUCAGUAAGGAUGACUACUAGUAUUGAAAUUAAGAUACAAGUUAAUUAAAAUAGCUUCAUAUUAUUCUCCUCACCUUGUUGUUAGACCGAGCGUAUGCAAUCAAUUGCUUGGUGUCUGCCUCAGGCACACCUUCGGCAAUAAUUGCCACUACCCGAAUGGUUGGCUGUUUCAGGGCAGCCAUAGAUGAGGCAGCCGCACUGCAAUUAUAUUUAAAUGUCAGACUGAUGUAGUUCUCACAAAGCAUUCAAACCAUGAUAUUAACUAACAAAUGAAUAUUUACCUUCUAAAUGAUGAAAAGUUGAUGAAAACAUCAGCCGUUGGAUGAGCAGCACAAGCUGCCUCAACACUGCAAAAUUUUAAAAAUACAGGUUAGCAAACUCAAAGCCCAGGAAUAUGCAACUUCAGUGCAAGUAUACUGCUUCAAUUGUUAGGCUAACAAAUUUGUAAACUAAAUGUCCAAACUGAUAUAAAGCAGUGGACUGACUUUAGCAUAAAUAGACCAAUUAGCAAUGUACCAUAAAAUUGACUGACGGAAUUCUAAAGAUUUCUGCUCGUGACAUCAAUAUUUGACACGUAACAUGCCAAAAAUGCUCAUGACCACAAGUAUACACUGACCAAACUGUACUUACAAUUUAUUAUUCUCACAUAAACACAAGAGUAUAAAAAAUAACAACACCACCAAGUUUUCACAAAAGAGUAAAAUAUUAAAUAAAUUGUGUGAGGAUAACGAGUACUCCACAUUAGACGGCCUAGCUAAAUCAACAGGAAUCAGCUUUCUUAACACCGAAAUAAGUAAGAUGUUUUACUUAAUAAUACAGAAGUGACAGAUUCAUAUAAAUAGAGAAAGAGAAACAUAAUCUUACGUUGAAUGCACAGGAAUGGCAAUUUCCUCUUGUCCAAAAAACAAUUUCUGAAAUCCCUCAGCCCCAGGAUUUAUAAUUCCGGCAACUGAAGGUGUUUCCCUCCCUAAAAAUACAAUUUCAGAUAUUCAAAAUAAUGCCACACACCAUCAAUUAAGAUAAUGCGGUUACCUUAUCCAUAUUUCACAUACAUAAAAUUAAUAAAAAACUGCAUUUGCAUAUCAUACACACCGCAAAGGAAAUCAAAAUCAAGCAUCCGUUGGAUUGGAAGCUGCUUAUAGUUGUAAAACAAAGCUUGUGUGGUUUUUGAAAACAGCUGUCCUGUAGCCAUGGCGUGACUAAUCGCUGAAGACACCUGCGAUGAACAACACAAUUCAAUUCUGUCAAAUUUGUAAAAUUAGCAAGUGUGAUUAGAGUUCAUUUGGUACAAAUUCAGUCGAAAUGGAGCAGAUCUACAUUGUUCAAUUAGUUCAACAAACACGCACCUAACUUAAACCAGAAGCUAACCAGAUCGCAAGUUACAACUAACAAAAAAAGAAUAGUAAAACGGCGACGUAGAGGCAAAGCAAACGGUUACAUUCAUUUAAAUAGAAUUCAUAAUCAAGAGUUUUUUCACUAAACAACAAAACGAAGCAUAUCGUUACUCUAUCCUCGUAUAAAUCGACAAUUGUAAUCAAACAGACAUGAAUUGGAAUCAAAGAGAGAAAGGGAUCUGAGUCAACAACUACCUGACUCGGAGUCCCUGCCUCGUGAACUCAGCCGAUACAAUGCGAGACAGGGUAAAAGAAAUGAGACGAUUCGAAAUUCGGGGGGAGAAGAGAAUAGGAUUUUAUAGAAGGGGAGAAUGGCUUUGGCAGCUAGACUUGGAAGGGAAGAAGCCAGACGGCACGUGGCGUUUGGUAGUUAGAUCAUUCAUGGCCUUGCUAUCAUUGACUCAAACUUACCCCUUCUGCAUAUUUUCGUACCUGACCUUUUAUAAUUUCUCAAGUAAGAACAUAAUUUAUCCAUUUGUAUUAAACAAGCCCUGUUCUGUCCGUCAAAUAAUCAUUUAUGAAAUGACAAACUUGCCCCUUACUACAAAUGUUGAUUGGGUUUUUUUUUCUUUUUGGAAAAAUGAAUUAAAUUAUACAAAUUACUCUCAUAUUAUUUUUACAAUACUUUCUCAUUUCUCUUAUAACAUAACCUUAAAAAACUUGUAUAUUGAGGUGAUUUUAAUUUUUUUUGGGUAAAAUAUGAUUGAAAACUGAGGAAGUUAAAAUCUUAAUGUCUAGAAGUUCUAUCAUUAAAUUUACACGAAGAAGCUUCAUUUUUUUUUCUUUUUGGAAAAAUGAAUUAAAUUAUACAAAUUACUCUCAUAUUAUUUUUACAAUACUUUCUCAUUUCUCUUAUAACAUAACCUUAAAAAACUUGUAUAUUGAGGUGAUUUUAAUUUUUUUUGGGUAAAAUAUGAUUGAAAACUGAGGAAGUUAAAAUCUUAAUGUCUAGAAGUUCUAUCAUUAAAUUUACACGAAGAAGCUUCAUUUUUUUUUCUUUUUGGAAAAAUGAAUUAAAUUAUACAAAUUACUCUCAUAUUAUUUUUACAAUACUUUCUCAUUUCUCUUAUAACAUAACCUUAAAAAACUUGUAUGUUGAAGUGAUUUUAAUUUUUUUUUGGUAAAAUAUGAUUGAAAACUGACGAAGUUAAAAUCUCAAUGUCUAGAAGUUCUAUCAUUAAAUUUACACGAAGAAGCUUUAUUUAAAAAAUUAUAUCAAAUGAAUUCUUAUGAUAUGUUUACUUUUCUAGAAUCAUAAUAGUCAGAAAUCAGAAUAAGAUGUAUUCCCAUUAAUUUAUUUAAUUAUCCUGUAAUUGAAACAAAUUGUUUAAAGUUACUAAAAUGCCCUUAGGUACAAUUAUGUACUUGCUCACUAAUAAAAUAAAGAGUAAAUAUUUUUACUAUAAGUAUUUUUAAUAAUAUUAUUAUUAUUACAAUUAUUAUAAUAAAAAAUUUGUUAUUACCAUUAUUAUUAUAAUAUUAUAAUAAGAUAAUGACAAUUAUUAUUAAAAAUAUUAAUAAUUAUUACCAUAAUAGUAAUAGUAAUAUUCUAAUUAUUUUAGUUAUUAUAUUAAUUAUAAUUAAUAAUAAUCAUUAUUAUUAUUAUAACGACAAUUAUUGUUAUUGUCAUUAUUAUUAUUAUUGUUAAUUAUGAAUAUUAAUAUAAUUAUAAUUAUUUUAAUUUUAUAAAUAAUUUUUUAUUUAAUAUUUAAAGAUAAAAAUGUCAAUUUAUUCCCUAUUAUUAUUCCCACCUCUCAUAUAAAUGAGAUUCUCAUUCCUUAUUUUUAGGUUUGUCAGCCCCACCUAAAAUUCAUUCUCAUUCUUUUGGAUUUUUAGUAAGUAAAUAUAUCAAUGAAGAAUAACAAUCAUUCUUAAAAGUAAACACACGAUAAUUAUAUAAUGCAAUUAAACUUAACUAAUUUAGUAAAUUAGAUAAAAGUUACAAAAAUUUAUUUUUUCUAUUCAUAUGCAAAUAAUUGAAAAUAAAAAAUAAAUUAUAAAAAAUAAACAAGUAAAUUUUUUAAAAAAUAAAACUUUAGACAUUUAACAAACAAGCCUUAAGAACAUUUAUUUUUCCAACUUAAUAGGGAAAAUUGUUAUUUUUAAAUACGUCAUUUUUUCCUAAAAUAAUGAUUUUACUAAAUAAUUUUUAGAAAAAUAUCUCUAAUUAAUUGUUUUAUUUGCAUCCUCUCUACUCAUAAACUAGAGUUAAGUUCUCAUGAAUAUGAUUUAUGUUAAUACAUGUAUGAGGGUACUAUUUUAUUAAAAUUUAUAAUGACGCAAAUCUAAAAGUAUAAUAAAUAAAGGAUAAUGCUUUGUUUAGUCACUUUAAAUACUCGAUUAGUAGUCACUGAUAUGACAUUUUACAUCCUUCAUUUAACUCUUCAUAUUUGACAAUUGAGACUAAAAAACAAACACCUAACUCAACACUUACGAGUACUUUAGUCAUUUUGAAAGCAGUAAGGACCAAUAUGGUAUUAAUGGAAAACCGUGGCUAUAUCUAAGAAAUUACAAAAAGUUAGAGGCUGCAAAUUUGUAUUUGAGAUAGAGAAGUGCUGCUGGUACGAUCAGGUUGGUGGUUGGUGGGAGGAAUCGUUUGCUUGGGGGGGAAAAUUUUGCACGGAUAUUUUAAUUUGGCUAGCACUAUUUUUUUAUUUAUUAUUAUAUGAGUUCAUAUUACAAUCCAUAUUUUGAAAUAUUAUAAUUAAUAUUUACAAUCAGAUAAUUACUAAAAUUACAUUCACUUAAAUUUAAGGAAUGAAAUUAAACCCCCACAAUAAUAUUAUGGGGGUUUGAACCAUUACCCUCGUAGUUAUGAGGGACUGGAUCUAAUUUGGACGAGUGGUUUGAGUAGUGCUAUUUGAGUUUAUAAAUUUCUUCCUUAUAUUAUUUUUUAAUUAAAAAUUUUAUUAUCUAAAUAGUUUUAAAAAACUACUUAAUUAAUUAUUUAUUUUCUUCUUCUUAAUUUCAUAAAUCCUCAUAAAUUCAUUGAGAUAUAUAUUUUUAGAUGCAAAUAAUUAGUAUCACUAACUAAAAGGAGCAAAACUACCAUUUUAAAAAAAUAUCAAUAAAUUUUUAUCAAUCAUCAAGGUUAAUAUAUAUCAAAAAAUUAAUUUUUACCAAACACAAAAAUUAAUGCAUAUGAAGAAAAAAGAUCCUUAUAUAUAGAAAUCAUGAGAUAUAGUUUGUGGUAUACUAAAAAAACUAAAAAAAUGAGUUUGUAAAAUGUGGGAGUAGAGAGAGAAUAUGUAAUUGUACGAUAAAGAGAGAAAGAGAUUAAUGAAAGGUAAUUUUGACUUUUUGAGAUUUUUAAAUUUUAAACUCUUAAUAAUGAAUUUAUUUUUCUAAAUAGGUUUUGAGAGAAAUUUGAUAGAUUCAAAUAACCCCAUCCCUAUCUUAAAGUAAUAGAUUUAAGUUUAGAAAAAAAUGUGAACGACCCUCAGAUGGAGGAUAACUACAAUCUUGCCACCAAUUACUAAUCUAAAAUGGUACUCUCCUAAGACGGCAAUUAUACAUGUGUGUAGAGUCGAGACCACAUUUAACGAGCAAGCAAAAAAUAUUAUUGCACUCAAGUGAGUAUUUCUCUCGUCUUUAAUACAGAAAAUUUUAAAUUUUCAUUCCAAAUGACGUAGUAUAUAUCAAUUAUAUGGUGAAAUAAUAUAAUAAAAUCACUUGAAAAUUUUAAAAAUUUAUCAACUAUUCAAUAAAUGAUAUGUCACCUAAGGUUUAGUUUAGUUCAAUUUCAAAAAGGUAAAAAAAAAAAAAAGAUAGAUAUAAGAAAAAGCUAAAAAAAAAAAAAACACAUUAUAAAAAAAUCGAUCGGUUUAAUUCGAUUCAAAACUAAACCAUACUAGUGCCCACCCAUAAAUAUUAAUGUCAUCAAUAUUUGUCGCCAAAUUAAACAGUGAAUUAGGCUGUGAGUAUUGCUAUUUGGUUGGUUGAACUGAUAAAAUCAUUUUAAGUAAUAUAAAACAUAUAGAAUAAAUCGACGUUUGUUCGACAAUAAAAUUAAGUGUGACAAAAUAGAUUUUGACUGGAUUUUAAUGAAAAAAAUGUCCUUGUUCCUAAUAAAAGGAUAAUGUAACGCGCGCGCGGAAAUUUUUGCUUUGCUUUGUUGUCAUUGCGUAUGAUUAGAACUUGCAAAGCCAGCAAUCUACACUGUUUCCUCCCCGUAAGCUACAGUGGACGACGUGGCCAGAAAUAUCAGCGUAUGGGUAAAAUACCACUCACUCUUUUUGCAAUUUGCACAAUGCCAUCACUCAUCAACGUAACCCACUAGUUGUCGUUUUCUCCAUAUGAAUUUACGAUUCGAUAAGAUAAUGAAUUUUUUUUUUUUGGGUGCUUUUUGGGUGGAACUAUGACAACGAUAGUGUUGAUGGUCAACAAAUGCAUGACAUUAACCAAAUUUAUUAUUCAUUGUGAUCUUAGCUUAUGGCCCCACGUGUAAAUCAAAUUUUGGUUAACACAGAUUGUUAGGCAUUUAAAGCUUUAAAUAAUAAUAAUAACAGCAGCGGUGUCCCUAGGUUUCCCAAAAAAAUUCAGACAUUCCUUCAAUUAACAUUAUCAUAUGUACAAAUACGUAUAUAUAGUUUCCAAAUACUCGAAUUCUAAAAGUUGGUUUUCUUGAGCUGGUAAUUUCUGAUUGAGAUUUGAUUAUCACGAUACAACCGUCUUAUGUUGUCGUUGGUCACAAAAUUCGAUGCCUUCUGAGUAUUUUUUUUUGUCCAAAUUUUUGUCCACACGCAAAUGGUCAAUUAGUAUUUAUUUUCGCCUAACAAAUAUAAUAUGUAUGAUACAUCAAUCUGGUUAACUAACCCCUCUGAAGACAUUACACCUGGUCGAUAUUAUUGGAUUUGAAUAAUUAUUUUUUAUUGUUCUUUAAUAUGAAGACUCAUUAUAAGAUUAUAUUAAUUUCGUCCUACAAAGUAUCAAAGAUUCCAUUGCUCGUGUCAAUGAUAUCGUUAAGCACGAAACCUAUUUUGCUUAAUGGCUCGUGAGCCUCGUGUUCAUUCUUUUUAUGGUUGACCCAACUAUUUUUGUUUACAGUCACUUUCUUCAUUUUGAUGACACUAUGAUUAGAAUCUUUAGCUUCAAUGUUUAGUCAAUAUCGGAUGGCAAAAACAUAUUGUUUACUCGAUGUCUUUUAAUUCCCGCCAUUGAAUUAAAUGAAAGAUCAUUUUCAUGCAUGACAUAUCAAUAUCAGUGCUUUACUUAAUUACUAUGUACUAUUGAUCUCCUAAUGAUCAUUCAUUAUUAUUGUUGUUGUUGUCGUAUUUAAAAUUAAUAACACAUGUUAUUAAAGUAAGAAUGACUAACAAUACAUUAAUGUAUAGAAAUAAAUAUAAGGUCAAAUCAGGCUUAAAUAUAAACAUAUAGAAUAAUGCUUAAUAUUCAAAUCUAAGUUAAGGUGACAUCUAAUCACAAAAUCACUUCAUAUACUAUAAAUUUCUAAUUCAGGAGGAGAAUAAAUGGGUCCAUACAACAAAAUCUCAUGAAGCAUCGGAGGAAAUUUGCAACGUUAACUUAGUCUACUAACCUCAAUUAUUAUAAGUAAAAACCACCUCUCAAUCGGAAAAAGAAAACCAAUAUAGUACCACGACAACACAACACUUCUACAAUAACAAAACACAAUGUUGGUACGUAUUGAAAAUGCAAUGAAGAAGAAUGGAUAAUAUUUUUCCAUCUCAAUAGCACAUGGUAAAGCGAAGGGCCUGAAGGCUGUAGCCGCUGGGCCUUGUAGGCUGUAGCACAGUGAUAAAUCUCAGGCCCUCAAUAUGGAGUGUUAAGUGGGACAAUAAUUUUUAAUUAGUGCACCAAUUGCACCAACAUCAUUUUAGAAAAGGCGGCUAAAAUUGAACUUGGGGCGAAUCCCCACGAAUUUGAUGGUACUCUUAAUCAAUAGAAUUGAAUCAAUUUUGUUCCAAUAAAAACACCAGCCUCAGCAACAAAAAGUCGUUGGUCCACAAGAACUUGUACUUUGGUGGUUGAAAGUCGAAACGUUUGAAAUCCUCCGAAAACAAAAAAGUUAGUUGGUGUUUCAUAUUUGGCUUAUAUAUAAUUCGUUCACAAUUUUUUAAGGUAGUUAAAGCAUUGCUAUUGACAAUAAUUUUAGGUAUUCUAACAAUCUAACAUUUAAUCGGUUCUCUGUCAUUGACUCUUAUAUUGCGGUCACAAAUCUUUCCAAAUACAUGACCAUAUAUAUUUUUUCUUCCGUCACAUGAAUUUAAUUUCAUUUCACAUAAAUAAAAAAAAAGAAAAUUCUCAAUGAUGAUUUUGUCAUUUAAUUCAAUAGUGUAACAGAUAAAUUCAUAAACUAAUAAAUAGGAUCUAAUUAAGUUUUCUUAUGAUGUCAUUGAAUCAACAAUUUGAAGUGCCUUUCUUUUGUAUGAUCAUAAUGAAACAGUGUUUUAUAUGUAGAUGGAGGAGACCGUUUGAGAACACCUAAUAAUGCCGAAGCAAGCAACAUAUCAAUCCUGAAUUGUUAUGUUAUGUUUGUGACUAAUUUUUAUCGAAUGAGUAAGGUUCAUUCGAUACUUUAUUUUUAGUUAAUAUAUAGAAUAAUUUGGUGCCGUGGAGCUUGCAUCGUUUACCAGUUGCCACACUUGGCUUUCUAAAGUUGAGUCUAAUUUUGAACUCAUAGCCUUCAUUAUUUACUUCUAAAUAAGCGAACAAAUACAAUUAUAUAUUUUAUCCUAGGCUAGCACUAGCAGCCUUCACACUCCACCUCAAACUCCUUUUUUUUUCUUUCUUUUAAGCAGGGGUUCUGGAAAAAAAACCAAAUCAUUUGUUUAGCUCUUAAUUUCCUUGGAUUUUAAUUAAAAGAGUCAUUCAAAGAAGGGUAACUGUAAAUCACUCAGACAAACUCCCAAGACGGCAUUAUUUCUAUUUACACAAGCGAGUACAAAUUAAUUAUACAAUUAUUUACAUACCAAUAUUAAAACCAAAAUGAAAUAUAACAUCCAACUAUCUUUCAAUCUUUUUCUGGUUUUUUUUUUUCCCAGAUCAUUCAAACAAUAUAUCUCUUUAGAUCAAAAUAGCAAUAAGGAGGCCUGUAACCACAUUCUUAAAGUGAAUGCGCAUGUUAAACCUGCCACUGCGAAGGGAGAUGGAAGCAAAUCUGUACUUUUUGAUGCAAGUAUAUAUUCUGGCCAAAGAGUAGAGCAAAUUGGAGCUGGAGAAGAAAUGGAUAUUGGUAAGCAAAGUGUGGGUAGAAUUGCUUGCUGUCAUAUGUCCAACAAGUAAUUAUUAAUGGCGGAGAGCUUAUAAUUUAAGUUUUGUAUGGCCAUUGAAUGGCUCAUCUAGGUCUUGGAGAGCAGUUCAAAGCAAAAAAGGAACACAGUGCUCUGAUGAAUUUUGCGUUGUAUUUUGGUGUACAAAUUAACUGGAGAUCAAAUAUAAUUUCUAUUUUUUAAUUAGAAAAAGAAAGGGUGCAAAUUUUGACGGUUUAUGUUAGUAAAACACUAAAAGCUUCCUAUUAAUUGUAUAAAUUGGGGAAAUUGAAGUCUUAAUCUCUUGUUUUCAUUACAAGAGGUCAAAUUAUUGGAGAAAUUCAACCCCUACUGUUUAUUUUCACUACAAGAGCCUAAACUAACUUAAUUGUACCCUCAUACACAAUGAAAUAAAGCAAGCAUUCAUUAAACUAUGCUAUUGGUUAAAAAGUUGUAUUAAUUGAGAACGUGGAGCGCCUAAUUUUAAUUAGAGGGAGUUCCCUGAGAGUUUCCAAAUUACCACAUUGAUUAAGAGAGAAAAAGAAGGAGAGGUCAGCUGUGUAUAAAAGAAGCAAAUGCGCAAUCACUAAUCUCAUACCUUUCUCGGCCUUUUGGCUAAGAUCAAGUGUAGUAUCUGUUCUUAUCAGUUUAAUAUCUGAUAUGUGAGCCAAUGGCUCACACGAUAUUAAAUUAAUUUUUUAAGGGCGAGAGCUAAAUACGGUAGCUUGCUACCGGGGCUCUCAAGCGUCGCCCUUGCCUGGCACUACUGAACGGGCCUGGCGCACCCUACCAAUACAACUGAAAUUUUUGACAUUAUUUUUUGUAUUAUUUAUUCUUAAAUAAAUAAAUAUUGUAGUGUGAGAGAAUUUAAAUGGUGUCCUGCUUUGUCUUCUUUCUAUCAAAAUAAAUUUACUGGUCAAGGAGGUUGUCGACUGAUACAAAUUUAUUGGGUGGCCACUCCGGUGGGGCUUAAUUGUAAAUCAUAGAUGAAUUACUUGUUGUUUCCUGAUACAAUAUCAAUAUAUCAUGAAGGAUCCAGAAAAAAACAAAAAACAUAAAAAGAAUUUGAAUUUGCUUGACCAUUGAAUCCUCUUAAAUGGUAUGUUAACGUUGCACAGAUUCAACCUUGCAUGACCUGCUUGCUGAGAAAAUCAACUUAUAUGGCGUGAUAUUGACUUGAUAUGAGCUAUUCGACAUUGCGUAAAUAUCCCACAUCGGAGAAAAGAUUGAAAAACAAGAAACCUGACGCCAUACAAAUAAAGAAGUUUGAUCAGCGUUAGAACUUACUUACCUGGGCGGGGUCGAUGGGGAUCAAGAAGGCCCAUGGCCUAGGAUGGUGGUUCUUAUUGCACUUGGAGAGUGCACCACCCUAAGGUCUCCCCAAGUGGGAGAGCCUACGUCAUAAUUUGUGGCAGUGGGGGCCUGCGUUCGCGCGGCCCCUGCCCAUUGCUAGUCGGUCAAGUUUUUAUCAUUCAAAUAAUAAAGAUACUAGUAAUGUUUAACUGUUACAUUGAGCUUGAUAAUACCAUUCAAAUUAGCAACAUCAAGGAACUGAGUCUCCAUAAUCCCAUAACCCUUAACAAAUCUAAAAUGCCCAGUACCAGAUACAACACCAAACUCUCUUUGCUUCAUUGCAAAGAUAUCAGAUCCUUGAAUCUCCAAAGUGCUUCCUUUAAAUUCUCCGUCAGUAAAAAUAAGACUGAAAGCCAUGUACAAGGCCUUACCAUCUAACUGAGAGUUCACAUAAAUGCCUUGUGCCCUGCCUAUUUGUUUGGAAUCGAUCGUGGGGCCCUCGGUGACUGCAUCGUCUACAACCGCGAUUGUGCCGAAGCGGAGGAUAUGUGAUGUGGGUCCAUCUUUUCCAGCGACGGUGAUUGCUGAGGUGUCACGGCCAGUGAAAUAGUCAUGCACGUACAGGACUAAGUUGCUUUCUUUUGCUUCUUGUCUUGGGAAUGUGUAGGCUAUGAAAAGGAGUGCUGCUGCGAAUAUGAAGAAGAAGAAAUUGGAGGUGGGGCUUAGAGGAGUGGCCAUGGCUUUUUAGGGUCAAUUUGGAGAUGAGAAUCUGGUGCUUUUGAAGUUUGAGAUGUGUAGAUAGAUGAGUUGAAGAUGCUUGGUUGAGGAAUUGGAAUUCUUGAUGAAAGAAAAAGACAAAGUGGGGUUGUGAAAGUCCAGGUUCUUUCUAGUAGCUUUCCCUAAUGUUUGAUGUCUUAGUCAUUGGUUUUAUAAACAUUAUUUUAUCAUUGCUCUUAUUUUAUUUUAGUUUGAGAAUAUCAUUGCUCUUAUUAUUUAUUAAGAGGGUGGUUCCCCACAUUUCGUUUUAAUGUUUUCACAUUUUUCUUUAAAAAUAAAAAAAAUAAAACUCUUAAAAUUCAUUAAAAGACAGAAUUUCCGUUACAAUUUUAUCAUGGCUUUAUCCAUUCAUCAUUUACCCAACUCACUAAUCAAAUAAUAACAUCAAAGUCCUUUGUAUUUUCUAAAAUUUGAAAGAUAUCAUUUAUUUACAUAAUCAAUCAGUUUCAUCUCUAUAAAACUUUACUUUUCUUUAGUCCCUUAGAUUCUUUCAUUGUUUAUGAGCAUUAAGAUUGCCUUAACAUAAUAUUAAUUUAAUUAGUUUAAUUUUAUAACAUAAAUUAAUCAAAAGCCCAAAAAGCUAUGUGCAAUUAUGCCAUAAUAUAUUAGAAUCAUAAAAAGUUACAUUAAUUAAAAUGUAUUGUGGGCAAUUUCGUCUUGUAAUAUUAAAAUCACUAAAUAAUUAAAUUAAUCUUCUAGGAAGCCAACCUUAUUGCUCAAGAUAUGAAUUAAAGAAAAAAAAAAGAUAUUUAAAUGUGAAAAGAAAAUUAUGAAGGAUUUAUUUAAUUAAUUGUAUAAACAAUUAAUUUAUUUAAAAUAUUGGCAAAUAAUACGGACCUUUAUAUAAAUUACUCUUUUUUGUUAGGUUUAGAAAAAAAAUAGUUACCGGAGCCUUUUUUUUUUUUUUUUCAAAAUUCUUUCUUAUACUUUUCGUGAAUCCUCAUUUGUCUGCUAGUUAUCUAGUGUUACGAGUGAUCUAACAUUCUAAAUUUAUGGUGUGUUUACUUUUUAGAUUAAGGAAUUAGAAUCAUUGACAAUGUUAACUUCACAAAUUAAGAGCGGAAAUUGAAAUCAAAUAAGUCUACCCAACCUCAAUUUGGGUUUGAAAAAUGGAAGAUCGAUUCCCAUCGCCCUUGGGAACAACAAUAAUAAUAAUAACUCUGUAGAAAAGAUUAAUACAUAAUAACAAUUAUUAUAAUAAAUAAUAGUAAUACUAAUAAUUGAAAUAAUUCAUUCUGAUUCGUAGUUAAAGUAAAUACAUUUAUGGUAAUACAAUCCAAUCUAAUUUUGAUACUUGCAAUCGAAGUAAACAACUUAUUUUGAUUCCUAUUCUUAUUCUCAUUCCAGCUCAUUCUGAUUUUAUUUAACCCAUUCUGUAGCCAUUUCAUGCCGAUUACUAAUUGAUAAACAUACCAUUAAAGUAUUGGUAGUAAUGUACUUGAAAAAUAGAGGACUUUUCAUCUCCAAAGUAAAAUUUUACAACGAUUUUUUUAAUAAACAUUGACUACUAAAUGUUUUUUAGGGGUGGGCGACUAGUCGGUUCAAUUUAGUAUUGAAUUCUAAAGAACUGAUAAUAAUAGAACAAAACAAAAAAGGUGUCGAACCACAACCAAAAUUUUUAGGCAAAUCCUUCAAAUAUUUACAAUUAUGUUAAUUUUCUUACAAAAUUUAAAUUUUUAUUUUUUCUGCUGUACGGCCAAGGCGGAUGUACGGUACAGCAGAAUGUAAUAUUAUAUUUUAUAUAUUAGUUAAAUGUGUAUAAUUAAUUAUAUUAACUUAUUAAAUAUUAAUCAAUUUUAUAUAUUAAUUAUUAUAAUAUAAUUAAAUAAUACAUUAUUUAGUUAUAUUUUUAAUAUAAUAAAAAAUAAAAUAAAAUAAAUUAUUAUUUAAUAAUAAAUUAUCAAUUUAUUAAUUUAUAUUAUAAUUAUAGUAUAAAAAUAAAAGAAAAUAAAAAUUAAUAUUAUAUUAUAUUAAAAAGUUAUACUUAUUAUUAUUAUAUUGAAAAAAACUAAUGCGGCAACUGCCACAUUAGCACACUUGCCAAGAGCAAAGAUUAAUGGUGCCCACUGCUUUCCAAUCAAUCGCUAAACAUGUGAUUUGUUCAAGUAAUACUGGACCCACACACUAAUGCUACGCAAUACCAUACCCCAAACACACUCAUAGAGAGGUAGAGCCUAAUAAGUACUUGUUACAUUAGUUUUACAUUAUUAAUAUAAUGUUGCACAUACUAACAAGUGUCACAUCCUAUGCUCUUAGUUUGUUGCUCAUGCAAAUAAGAAAGCUUUGGAUAGUGUACAUUAUAUAUAUAGUUCUCCUCUAUUAUUGGAUUAUUGUCACAUGUAACUUUUAAUUAAAUAUAUAAAAAUAAGUAUCCAUGUAUUAAUGUAUAUUACACAAUCUUGCAUACUGUGAUAUGGUUGAACUUGAAUCGAAGAUAAACUUAAAACCUGAAGAAACGGUUAAUGAACUCUUAAUUAAGCAAUGAAUGCAACAGAACCAUUUUUGGCGUUUCUCUCUUUCCGUUACUCCCUAACCGCCACUCUUUGUUCUAACGUCAUCUUAAACUCCCAAGAAACAAUACACGAAAACAACAACACUAGAAACCAUUAUCAAUUUUUUUUUUCCAUUUUCACUAAUAUUCAACAAUUUUUUUUUUAACAUGCCGCAAUUUCAAUCCAAAUCUUUGUAUUCCUAGAUUAUAUUAAUUUUAUUUGAUAAUACAGUAAUUUUUUUCCCCCUCAUUUCCUCAUUUUCUUGCUCCCCUGUUUUCCUGUGCUCUGGUUUUUAUUCUUGACAUUUCCCUUAUCUUUCUCUCUCAAUUCUCACACUUUCUCUCAAUCUCCUCAAAAGGGUUUCCCUGUUCAGAUAUGAACUCCGAUACCCAGAUUUUAUUUUCUAUAUUUUUCUUUUCUCUUACGUUAAGCAACAUUGCUUGUGUUCUCAGCCAAGGCACUCAAUCAGAUUCUAAUUCUUAUGUGCUUGCAUGUGGAGCUUCAAGUGAUGGCACCGAUUCGAAUGACCGUAAAUGGACAUCAGAUUCCAAGUUUCUUACAAAUUCAGGCAACUCAAUAACGGCAACAGCGCAAUCUCAGGACUCUUCGUUGCCAUCAACGAUUCCUUAUAUGACCGCAAGAAUUUUCAAAUCCACGUCAAGCUACAAAUUCACUGUUUCAUCCAAGGAUCGUUUCUGGCUCAGGCUUCAUUUUUAUCCGGCUUCUUAUGGCAAUCUUGAUCCAUCGAAUGCUUAUUUUUCUGUCAACGCAAAUGGCUUCACUCUCCUUAACAAUUUCAGUGCCUCAAUAACAGCAAAAGCAUUAACGCAAGCAUAUAUUGUAAGAGAAUUCUCUCUUGUUCCUGCACAAUCUGGUGACCUCAUCAUAACCUUUACACCUUCUUCGGAUCAUAAAGAUUCAUAUGCUUUUGUUAAUGGGAUUGAAGUGAUUCCGAUGCCUGACAUUUUUGGGUCUGCACCUUUGGUUGGAUUUAGUGAUCAAUCUGUUGAAGUUAACAGCUCUACUUUACAGACAAUGUAUCGAUUAAAUGUUGGCGGUAAAUUCAUUCCAUCAACAAAUGAUUCAGGCCUUACCAGAACAUGGUACGAUGAUUCGCCUUACUUGUUUGGUGCUGCAUUUGGUGUCACAUCUCAAGCCGAUAACAAGACCAAGAUUGAAUAUCCUAGCAAUUUAUCACAAGAAAUUGCACCCUUGAGUGUAUACGAGACAGCAAGGUCAAUGGGUCCAGAUCCAAACGUUAAUCGGAAUUAUAAUCUGACCUGGAUUUUUCAGAUUGAUGCAAAUUUUACUUAUAUUGUCAGAUUCCAUUUCUGUGAGAUUUUGCUGACCAAGAUUAAUCAAAGAGUGUUUGAUAUUUUUAUUAACAACCAAACAGCACAAGAAGGUGCUGAUGUGAUUGGCUGGGCCGGAGAGCAAGGAGUGCCUGUGUAUAAAGAUUAUGCUAUUUAUGCUGAAGAUUUGCCCGGUGAUGAUGAAUUAUGGGUGGCAUUGCAUCCUAGUGUGUCGAUGCACCCCGAAUAUUAUGAUGCAAUCCUCAAUGGAUUGGAGAUUUUUAAGCAGAAUGAUACAAUGGGCAACUUGGCUGGUCCAAAUCCUGUGCCAUCAGCUAUGCUGCUUCAUGCUGAAGCCACAAAGAAGAAAUUUGCUCCCUCAAGCUCAAGAUCCAAAACUGUGGUCCAUGUGAUUGGUGGCGUUGCUGGAGGUGUUUUUGGUAUUGCUGUAGCAACUGCUAUUAUAUUUUAUGUCUCCAACAAGAAGAAGAAUAAUGAUGGAAGUCGGUGCUCUACGAGUUCUUGGCUGCCACUCUAUGGAACUUCCCACACAACCGGCAAAUCAACAGGAACUGGUAAAAGUACGAGUAGCCAUCUUACCAAUCUUGCAGCAGGACUUUGUCGCCAUUUUUCAUUAGCUGAAAUUAAGCAUGGUACCAGGAACUUCAGCGAGUCACAUGUUAUAGGGGUUGGAGGAUUUGGUAAAGUAUAUGAGGGCUAUAUUGAUGGAAAGACAAAGGUCGCCAUUAAAAGAUCCAACCCGUCUUCAGAACAAGGGGUACAUGAAUUCCAGACGGAAAUUGAGAUGCUUUCGAAGCUGAGACACAAGCAUUUGGUGUCUUUAAUUGGGUUUUGUGAAGAAGAUGGCGAGAUGAUUCUGGUUUAUGAUUACAUGGCCAAUGGGACAUUAAGGGAGCACCUCUACAAGGGUGAUAAACCUGGCUUGCCUUGGAAGCAAAGGUUAGAAAUAUGCAUUGGAGCUGCCAGAGGACUUCACUAUCUUCAUACUGGCGCUAGGUACACAAUCAUUCACAGAGAUGUGAAAACUACAAACAUUCUGUUAGAUGAGAAAUGGGAAGCAAAAGUUUCUGAUUUUGGACUGUCAAAAACUGGUCCUAAUCUCAAUCAAACCCAUGUUAGUACCAUGGUGAAGGGCAGCUUUGGUUACUUGGAUCCUGAAUACUUUCGGAGGCAGCAAUUGACAGAAAAAUCUGAUGUUUACUCCUUUGGAGUAGUUCUUUUUGAAGUGUUAUGUGCAAGGCCUGCACUUAACGUAAAUUUGCCUAAAGAACAAGUUAGUUUAGCAGAUUGGGCAUUACAUUGCCAAAGGAUGGGAACUAUUGAGGACAUUAUUGAUCCAAAUCUUAAGGGAAACAUCACUGAUCAGUGCUUAAGAAAGUUCACAGAGACCGCUGAGAAGUGUUUAUCCGAUCAGGGGAUCGAUCGACCUUCCAUGGGCGAUGUGUUGUGGAAUCUUGAGUUUGCACUUCAAUUGCAAGAUAAUCCUGAUGGUGAUAAAUUGAUUUCAAUUCAGACCGAUAAGGCCAAUGACACUUAUGCCAUGCAUAAAGCCAUGUUAAACAUUGAUGAAGAGAGUGUUUUGAGUGACGAGAUUGAUACCUCAAAUACUACCGAUAUAUUCUCACAGAUAGUGAAUCCAAAGGGAAGAUGAGUACAAAUGAGGCAUUUUGCCCAUUAUGCCAAUUAGACAUAGGAUGUUUAGUUAGAUUUUUUUUAGUUUGGAUUUUUAAAUACUAGUGUGCUUAUUGCUUGGGUUCACAUUGUACACUUUACAGAAUUACAAAUUGGAAAACCGAAAACAUUUGCUUAGGUUCCUGCAAAUACGGCUUUUACAGGAUUGCUUAUUGCAUGUGCGACUUUGGCUUUUUUUUUUUUAUUCUGCUUAUGGCUUUCUCAUAAAAUAUUCCUAAAAUUUCACUUGCUCGAUCUUAAAUGCUACUACUUUUUUUUUGAGAAGCUUAAAUGCUACUACCCGAAGGCUUUAGCAGUAGAUGAAUGAAGCUGACCCCUGCAUCAAUUGCACGAAGUGGAUGCUCCAGAAUUACUACUGCAAGAUGGAGAAUCAAAAGUAUAUUUGCAAUUCACUUUGAAACAUUCCAAAUUUGGCCAAUAUUGAAACCUCUUUUUUUUUUCUUUUUAGUAAUAACACGUAUUAGAAAUGUCUAAAAAACAAAAAACAAUGUAUCUAUCAUACUUACGUAAUUACAAGGCCAUAUCUAACUUAAGUACUACAAUAUUAUUGGUACUAAAAAAAAAUUACAGAAAAAUUAACACAAACCAAAAUAAAAAUGGUCCAUCUCCGGCCGGAAUUUGUUUGUUUUUCGGCCUCUGUCGCGGCGGUGUCUAAAAGCAAAGAGUCACCAAAUUUCUCGAAGAGAUCCAACAAAUAUUCAUAAAUAGAUUUUGGCUUUUUUACCUCACUAGGCAAUUUCUGUUCUCGAGCAGUGAGCCUCGAUGCUCACAUUCAACUCAUGAAUAAAGAGAUUGAAAACCCAUUUCAUACUUUCACUGCUUUUGCUUAUUUUUUCUAUGGGAAAUUUUUGUCAUUUUAUGUUACAUUAUUUCCCAUCACAUUUGCCUUACUUGACAAAUCUCUAAACUUGUCCAAGCAUCCUUAGCAAAAGAAAAAUGACCCAACAUCUACAAACCCAAAUAGAAAACAACUCAAAGCUUCCGAGUCACUCAAUCGUUCUCUUUUGGUUUUAAAAGAAAAAGGAAAAAAAGACACUGCAAUGAGAGGGCACACGAGAUGCUAAAGAAACACUGAGUUUCAGACCUUCCAUACGCCAAUCCAUGCAUACGGGAUUUAGCUUUUGACUUGACAAAUUUUGAGAAAUUUACUAAAUGAUCAAAAAUUAGAAUAAUGCACAUAAAAAAAUUAUUUUAAAUAAUAAUGGCUUUAAGUAAGAUAUUAUCCACCUUGUCAACAGAACUUAUAGGUGCAGUUAGCUGCCAUGUUAUCUAGCAGCAUUACAGUCUAAAAUUCACAAUUUUUACUACUAAAGUAAGAAAAUGGCAAACCAAAAUGUUGGGCCAUUAGUGUACUUUGGCUUCAGAGUAUUGAAAACUCAGGACUUUUUAUAGGAUGUCAAAAUAUUAAUAAUAAUGAUAAAACUCUAUUGACAUAAACUAAUUAGUAUCUUUACAAAACUCUAUUAUUAUAGGUUCAGUAGGCUAUGUACUAGCUAAGCCAUCAAAAAGCUGUUGCUGAAUCACUGCUGGUUCUUCUUCAUUGGUAUUUGAAAUUUGGGUUUGGGUUAGAACUUUGUCACCCAUCAGUCACAGUGUAACUAUUCUUAUCUGAAAUUAAGCACAGCAAAAUUUGGCUGACUUGAAAGCAAUGGGGUACAUGAACGAGUUGGAAUAAGUGAACCUGAUCACUUGACUUGGUCUUAAUGGCAUUCCUCCAUUCACCAAGCAAUCAUCAUAAGACACCCUUUUGAAAGUUCUUGGGUUCACUACUCUUGCAGAAGCAAACCAACCACAGUGAAGAUGAAUGUCUGAAGGAGCACACCCAGAAACACAAGUGUUCACAAUUUGAACUAUGUAUUGUGGGAUCCCAGAUGUUGAAUCUUUGCUUUGCGAGAUGCUUAUGUCCCUGUUUGUGCAAGAACCUGAAGAUAAAAUAUAAGUAAUUAAGAUAUUCAUAAAGAAAUCCAAUGACUUGCAAAAAAGGGUAUGAAGUGCGAAUUAGGAUGACUCUACAAUGGAAUCUUUACCAUGCACCAAAAGCUUUCUGUUGUGUGUGUAUACUUUUUUCGUAGUCCAGUGACUUUUGUCUUCAUGGAAUGAAUGCGAAAUCUUGUUUGAAAUUCCUGCAUGCCAACGCAAACAAAUAAGAUAAAAGCAAAGAGAGAUAAAUAAAUUGAAAAACCAGAGCUUCUUAGCAGUAUCUGAACCUGAAAGUUCGCCAAGAUUGCAAAAUAUAAUGAUUGUAAGCAUCAUCAACAUCAAGCAGCUGAAGAAGCAGCACAUAUGACAAGAUUUCAUGAUGGCUUUUGGGUUAAGUUUCAGAAGAAGAUGAAUAUUGUUUUGACUUUGGCAGUUUGGCCCCUUCAUGAAAACCUGUAGAAAAUUUGGGGUGAAGUGAUUCAAAUGAAGCGAGCCGUGGGUAGAGUAGAGAUUUUUGUCGGCUUAUAUAAUGCAAGACAGCAAGAGCGACUUGGAACUUGGAAGAGUUUGUAGUUGAACCAACAGCACUACAGCAGCACCAAUUUCAUUCCAACCGUCUGCAGUCCAACUCUAAUCCCAUUUCAUUACUUUUUGGCCUGCACCACGACAAUUGAAAGACAGCAGCAGCAGCCAUUUAAUGCUUAAUGGCAAGGGGUCGUUUCCAAACACUGUAGUGUUCAGGCCCAUUUCAAUUACUUUUCUUUUUCUUUUGACUUCUUCCGCUGAACUUUGGUACCCAAAUAAUUCAUUUUCCACUAUGGUCAAGAAUGAUCAAGAUCAGAUGAAUAGUUGUGCACGAGAAUGACCAAGAUAUAUUUGAGUAGUUGAUCCCGAACAAUAUUAUUAUUUUCCUGUGCAUUUGUGGCUUCUACUGAUCCUUUUACUUCGAUUACAGUUAAUAUCAAUGGAAUUAUAAGUUUUUUUAUAUCAGGAUUUUAAUAAUUUAAUUGACAGCGUAGCCAAGAAGGUGAGUAUCUUGUAACUCAUCACUUUACAUAAUGCAUGCUUGCUGUUGCAGUUCAUAUCAUAUGUAGACUGUAGUUGACAUCCCACAGCUCCAAGCCCAAAGGGAGAGAGAAGUGAAAGAAGCCACCAUGCGUUUUAACAAUAAUAAUUUGGACGGAAACAAAAUCUACCCCCAUUAGCUUCAUUCUUUUUUUAUUAGUAGAAAAUUCCAAUUUCUCUCUUUUUUCUCUAAGCAAUCUGCAUGUGUCUUCUCAAGACCCCACAACUACUGAUCCAAGCAGCGGCAUCUUGAGAAAAGAGAAAAAGUCUACGAUUCUCCUGAGCUUUUAAGAAGGGAAGCAUUAAUGGCCUCAAGCACCCAGCCUAAACUAAAGCAGAAACUCGUAGGAAAAGCUAGGCAAUAGCCUCCCACUCUUGUAGGUGCGUGCAUGCAUUUGUUUUAAUUGGUUCAUGAGGAUUAUAUUAUUUACUGAUAUUAUAGUAAGAAAUUUGUUAGGACUAGUUUUGAUCAACUCAGAUAAAAUUAUUGCAACCCAAAAAUUAUAUCUUAUAUGUUAGAGAAAUCUACUCACAGUUUGCCAAUAUCGGAGAUUGAACCUAGCCACCCAAGAUCAUAAGAGAAGAAUAAAUAGACACAAGUCUUUCAAACUUGAGUUUCAAGCUUGAUGAUAAAGAAGAAAUCUGUCCUCAUAAAGCUGUGGUGGAUUUAUUAACUUAGGUUUAUCAUUUAGAAAAAUUAACAAAGCUAAAUCAUAUGGAAAAACCUAUAUGCAAGGUACCUAAUUUUUCUCAAGCUAUAUAAGAUCCUCUCAUCUUGAUAAAAAUUUUUCUCAGGUCUUGAGAAAACUAGCAUCACCUAUUAAUUGACGAGCCAAAAUUUGGUCUACUAACUCUGAUCGUAUAAAAAAUAUACUAAAGUUGUGCACGUGCGAGAGUAAUUAGUAAAGGCUCUUGGCUCCUCAAAGACACAUGGUAAUGAAAAUGUUUAAAGUUGUCCACAUUAGCACUUGUCGCUUGUGAGUGCAGCUGAAGUAAAUAUGUGAAAGCUACUUGUCCUAAUCUCCUUCUUUAAGAAACUCACCAAAAAGACCUGAUUAUGAAAAUAAAGUGCUGAAGGACGGAGAAAUGCGCUUUUUUUGCUUCAAUUAGAAAAACAUAGCACGUUGUUAAAUGACUGACGACUUUCUCUCUGAUGCUAAAAGUUAAACCUGUCUUCAACAUGUGUACGGUUAAUUUAAUUUCUUCACUGUUUGCUUUCUGUGUAUAGGACUCACCACAUGUUGUCAUCAAGAAGGCACAGGCGAUCCAUUUGGGUUCAAAUGAACAACUAUUAAAUCCUUUAUUGUUUUGAAUACAUGGCAACCUAACCAGGGUUUCUAACUUUUCUCCAUUGGAGAAGAUUGAAGAGUUCGUCACGGAACAAGAAAGAAAAUGAAAAUCAAAUUAAUCUCCAUCGUGUAUAUUGUUUCAUUAAUUUCAUCAGAGUUAAAUCUUCAGCUAAAUUAUGGUGUCGCGUAGGCCAUUAACACAUGAUAAAUUAAUUAAGACUGUUAUCUUAUUAGGGAAAGAAUAAACGAGACUCAUCUUCAUAUAAUUUUUAAGUUCGAAGCAAAUCUCAUAUAUGUUCAAUAUAAUUAAAUUUUCGAAGUAUACUAAAAAAACCUCACAUUAUAUUUAAGAAAAAAAAAAGGAAAGGUAAUCAAAAUUGAAGUCAAAUAUCAAUUGCUGUGCAUUAAAAAAAAAAAAAGUUUGAUCAAUUGCUUGUUGGAGAAGCUUCAACUCGUGCUCCUCCCCCAUAUGGUUGAAAACAGUGAGUCACUCGUCCACUGAUGGCCAUAAGCUCGACGGCGCUUCUCUUUAUUUGAUUCUGCAGAAUGGGUGAUAAAUAAAAACUCACGUACGCAUUUGAGACCAGGGAACUGGGACUGGGCUGCUGUACCAAUCACAUGAUGCAUGAAUUAUGAUCAAAGUCACGUGGAUAGAUGUCUGGGCUCGCUUGAAAGUGAAAGCUCGAGUCCUAUCAUCAGAGUUGACUAUCUUAAACUUAAAUAUGCAAUCUGUCUUCGUUGAACCUAAACCACCUAUAAGUUAUUAUUCCCAAUGCCCCCUAUACCCCGUGACAUUCCCGUAUUCGGAUCCAGCUACCUCGCAACAAGGUACCAUCAAUUUUGUCCUUUGUGACGUUAAUUUUAUUUAAAUCUUUACUAUUUUUUAUUUAUAUUUUUUUAUAUGGUGAUUUUUUAAAAUAUAAUAUAAUUUUGUUUAAUAUUUUUUUUACUUUUUUAUCCACAGUUUAUUUCUUAAUUUAUGUGCUUUGGCUGAUGAUUUUCUAAAAUAUAAUUUUAUUUUAUUUAACAUUAUUUAGUUUUUUUAAAAGAAUAGAUAUAAUAACAAGCCUAUGACUAAAUAAUAUUAAAUAAUAUUUCUUUUUUAAUAGUAAAAAUAAUAUUAGUUUUUUAAGACUCGCUACUGAUUAUUUUAUUUUAUUAACAUUAUUUAAUUUUUUGAGAGAAUAAGCCUAUGGGGCUAUGACUAUGUAAUGUUAAAUAAAUUAAAUCAAUAAUAUUAAAUAAUAUUUCNNNNNNNNNNNNNNNNNNNNNNNNNNNNNNNNNNNNNNNNNNNNNNNNNNNNNNNNNNNNNNNNNNNNNNNNNNNNNNNNNNNNNNNNNNNNNNNNNNNNNNNNNNNNNNNNNNNNNNNNNNNNNNNNNNNNNNNNNNNNNNNNNNNNNNNNNNNNNNNNNNNNNNNNNNNNNNNNNNNNNNNNNNNNNNNNNNNNNNNNNNNNNNNNNNNNNNNNNNNNNNNNNNNNNNNNNNNNNNNNNNNNNNNNNNNNNNNNNNNNNNNNNNNNNNNNNNNNNNNNNNNNNNNNNNNNNNNNNNNNNNNNNNNNNNNNNNNNNNNNNNNNNNNNNNNNNNNNNNNNNNNNNNNNNNNNNNNNNNNNNNNNNNNNNNNNNNNNNNNNNNNNNNNNNNNNNNNNNNNNNNNNNNNNNNNNNNNNNNNNNNNNNNNNNNNNNNNNNNNNNNNNNNNNNNNNNNNNNNNNNNNNNNNNNNNNNNNNNNNNNNNNNNNNNNNNNNNNNNNNNNNNNNNNNNNNNNNNNNNNNNNNNNGAUGUACGGUACAGCAGAACAUUAAUUAAAAAAUUAUAUUUAUUUUUUAAGUCUUACUACUGAUUAUUUCAUUUUAUUUAAUAUUAUUUAGUUUUUUGAAAGAAUAAAUAUAAUAAUAAGCCUAUGAAUAAUAAUAUUAAAUAGAUAACGUUAAAUAAUAUUUAUUUUAUUAAAAUAAAUAAUAUUAAAAAUUUAUUCUUUGAAAUAAAUAUAUUAUAUUAAAAUAUUAAAAAUAAUAUUAAUUUUUUUUAUGUCUCACUUCUAAUUAAACAAUGUAAAUUUGAAACAAACUGAAAUUAUGUGUUAAAAAUUUUAAUUUUUUUUUAGUUUCAACAAAUAUCAAUGAGUAUAAUGUAAAUAAUUAAAAAGAUAAAUCUCUACGAUCGAAACUAUCUUCCGCUAAAUCCAACUGUAAAAGUUGAGUCCCCCAUAUUCACAUUCCUAUUGUAUCUCCACGAAGAUAUGGUAAAAAUUGUCUUUAAUCUAUUUGUUGUGUCUGCCUAAGUAAAAAAAAAAAAAAAGAGUAAAAGAGCCAUGGGUCCGGUGGAUCGCCUAGUUGUAAAUUAUGUUUAAUGUAAUUCAAGGAGACUUUUAUUUGUGGAUAAUAUUAAGUUUCGUAUUUAUUUUUCAUUUUAUUUAUAAUUAAGUAAAAUUUUUCUCUAAAUUAUGAAGAAAAUGAAUAAUAAGAAAAGAAAGAAAAUAAAGAGAAGAUCGUAAUCCAUAUUUGUUUGAUUGUUUCGAUAAUUAUUCCAGACAAAAUUCAAGUGUUUUUAUCGCUAUGUUUAUUUGGGUUUCUUAGAAUUUUUUUUUUUUUAACGUUAUUAACUAAACUUUCUUUUUCACGAGGAAACUACUCUCUGUACAAUUUUCUUCCUUUAAAUCUUGAUUAUAAUAUUUCUUUCCCCAAAAUAUCUUCAUCUUGAUUUGAAUGUCAGCAUCCCACGUGGCAUGUCACGUGCAAGUCGAGACAUCGUAUACUUGUUCACUGCAGAUGUAAAUGACUUGUGCUGCUUGCCAGGACCGGCAGCAACACAAAUGGAUUUUCAGAUACCGAUGAUACGCAUGCACAACCAUGUACCCGAGCCAGGGACAGGACCGGAACUACUUUAAACUGUCGCAAAUACCGACAGCUGCUCGUACGAUGCCCACAAGCUACAAAGUAUGGUCUAUUACUAAUAAAAAGACCAAAAUGCCCCGUCAAAUUAUGCAUAAAUCUUCAAAACUUAUUGGCCUUUUAGGGAAGCAUGGGUGGUUCUGUUUCAGUCAACCACAGUGUUUACCAAAUUGUUAGAACUGGAAGGAGCAUCUUUAUCACUGGAAACAGAAGAAGAAGGAAGAAUUGGCGAGUAGUAAAUAAAUGCUCCCGGCGGCGUCAGGAUGCGUGGCUUAUGCGCUUGGGGUUCACAAAUAGCCGACAGCACGAGCAUGUGACUCGAUACAGAGGCGAUGUUUGGGUCCUGAACCGAAAGUUAACCCUGUGCAGCAUCUGUUGGGUUCGUAAAGUUAGAAGCUGGGGUGAGAGUCUAUCUUUAAGAUUAAAAAAUUGAUGGAUGCUGUGGUAAAGAAUUGGUGUUAACAAAUUAAAUUAAAUAAGAAGAAUGAUUAUAGCGCAGUCCUCGUUAAUUUAGGCAUAGCGCAGUCCUCGUUAAUUUAGGCACCUUAUAGCGCAGUCCUCGUUAAUUUAGGCACCUUUUUUUUUUUUUUGAAAUUUUACAAUCUAUCUAUAUAUUUUGAAAACCAAAUGCGCUAUUACUUUCAUUAAUAAUAUUGGAUUAAAAUAUUUUUGCUCAAUGAGUAGGAUUAAAUCAUGCGCGCAAAUUUGUUUUGAAAGCCUGUUUAAAAUAAUUAAACCAACAAAUUGUCUUUGGUUUUUAAUCUACUGAUUAGUACGUAAGAUUAUUGCUGAUUAAUUAUUGGACCAGCAAAAGUCAAUGGCAAAAUUAAUAAGAUAUUAAUUGCUAUGAGAUCACUUAUUUUUUUUUAUUGCAAUCUAACUAUUUCAUGUCUGUGUAACUAAUAUUACUUUUUCUUUUUUAAAAAUAAAUAAAUAAAUACAUACAGGUGAUUUAUUCCAACAAUGUCAUUAUGUAACGAUUGUAAUAUUACUGACUCCGUUGACAUCAAUUUUGGACCAUUGCUCAAUUUUUUUAAUUUUGCACACAUCAAUUUGCUAAAUAAAACUUCUCAAUAAGCAUUUGCUUUGCUAACCUAAUCGGUUAUCAUCAUUAUGUCUUCAACCCUUCUCUUCAUCAUCAGCAUCCUCUGCACACCCAUCACUACUACAAAAAUGUAAAACAAUGACACAUACAUUAUGACGGUUUAUUUAUAUUUAUUUUUUAGGACUCACUACUAAUUAUUUCCUUGUAUUUAAUAUUUUUAGUUUUUGAAAGAAUAAAUAUAAUAAUAAAAUAUGACUAGAUAAUAUUAAAAAAAUAAUAUUUAUUUUUAAUAAAAAAUAAAUAAUAUUAAAAUUUAUCCUUUUGAAUAAAAUCAAUAACAUUAAUUAAAAAAUUAUAUUUAUUUUUUAAGUCUUACUACUGAUUAUUUCAUUUUAUUUAAUAUUAUUUAGUUUUUUGAAAGAAUAAAUAUAAUAAUAAGCCUAUGAAUAAUAAUAUUAAAUAGAUAACGUUAAAUAAUAUUUAUUUUAUUAAAAUAAAUAAUAUUAAAAAUUUAUUCUUUGAAAUAAAUAUAUUAUAUUAAAAUAUUAAAAAUAAUAUUAAUUUUUUUUAUGUCUCACUUCUAAUUAAACAAUGUAAAUUUGAAACAAACUGAAAUUAUGUGUUAAAAAUUUUAAUUUUUUUUUAGUUUCAACAAAUAUCAAUGAGUAUAAUGUAAAUAAUUAAAAAGAUAAAUCUCUACGAUCGAAACUAUCUUCCGCUAAAUCCAACUGUAAAAGUUGAGUCCCCCAUAUUCACAUUCCUAUUGUAUCUCCACGAAGAUAUGGUAAAAAUUGUCUUUAAUCUAUUUGUUGUGUCUGCCUAAGUAAAAAAAAAAAAAAAGAGUAAAAGAGCCAUGGGUCCGGUGGAUCGCCUAGUUGUAAAUUAUGUUUAAUGUAAUUCAAGGAGACUUUUAUUUGUGGAUAAUAUUAAGUUUCGUAUUUAUUUUUCAUUUUAUUUAUAAUUAAGUAAAAUUUUUCUCUAAAUUAUGAAGAAAAUGAAUAAUAAGAAAAGAAAGAAAAUAAAGAGAAGAUCGUAAUCCAUAUUUGUUUGAUUGUUUCGAUAAUUAUUCCAGACAAAAUUCAAGUGUUUUUAUCGCUAUGUUUAUUUGGGUUUCUUAGAAUUUUUUUUUUUUUAACGUUAUUAACUAAACUUUCUUUUUCACGAGGAAACUACUCUCUGUACAAUUUUCUUCCUUUAAAUCUUGAUUAUAAUAUUUCUUUCCCCAAAAUAUCUUCAUCUUGAUUUGAAUGUCAGCAUCCCACGUGGCAUGUCACGUGCAAGUCGAGACAUCGUAUACUUGUUCACUGCAGAUGUAAAUGACUUGUGCUGCUUGCCAGGACCGGCAGCAACACAAAUGGAUUUUCAGAUACCGAUGAUACGCAUGCACAACCAUGUACCCGAGCCAGGGACAGGACCGGAACUACUUUAAACUGUCGCAAAUACCGACAGCUGCUCGUACGAUGCCCACAAGCUACAAAGUAUGGUCUAUUACUAAUAAAAAGACCAAAAUGCCCCGUCAAAUUAUGCAUAAAUCUUCAAAACUUAUUGGCCUUUUAGGGAAGCAUGGGUGGUUCUGUUUCAGUCAACCACAGUGUUUACCAAAUUGUUAGAACUGGAAGGAGCAUCUUUAUCACUGGAAACAGAAGAAGAAGGAAGAAUUGGCGAGUAGUAAAUAAAUGCUCCCGGCGGCGUCAGGAUGCGUGGCUUAUGCGCUUGGGGUUCACAAAUAGCCGACAGCACGAGCAUGUGACUCGAUACAGAGGCGAUGUUUGGGUCCUGAACCGAAAGUUAACCCUGUGCAGCAUCUGUUGGGUUCGUAAAGUUAGAAGCUGGGGUGAGAGUCUAUCUUUAAGAUUAAAAAAUUGAUGGAUGCUGUGGUAAAGAAUUGGUGUUAACAAAUUAAAUUAAAUAAGAAGAAUGAUUAUAGCGCAGUCCUCGUUAAUUUAGGCACCUUUUUUUUUUUUUUGAAAUUUUACAAUCUAUCUAUAUAUUUUGAAAACCAAAUGCGCUAUUACUUUCAUUAAUAAUAUUGGAUUAAAAUAUUUUUGCUCAAUGAGUAGGAUUAAAUCAUGCGCGCAAAUUUGUUUUGAAAGCCUGUUUAAAAUAAUUAAACCAACAAAUUGUCUUUGGUUUUUAAUCUACUGAUUAGUACGUAAGAUUAUUGCUGAUUAAUUAUUGGACCAGCAAAAGUCAAUGGCAAAAUUAAUAAGAUAUUAAUUGCUAUGAGAUCACUUAUUUUUUUUUAUUGCAAUCUAACUAUUUCAUGUCUGUGUAACUAAUAUUACUUUUUCUUUUUUAAAAAUAAAUAAAUAAAUACAUACAGGUGAUUUAUUCCAACAAUGUCAUUAUGUAACGAUUGUAAUAUUACUGACUCCGUUGACAUCAAUUUUGGACCAUUGCUCAAUUUUUUUAAUUUUGCACACAUCAAUUUGCUAAAUAAAACUUCUCAAUAAGCAUUUGCUUUGCUAACCUAAUCGGUUAUCAUCAUUAUGUCUUCAACCCUUCUCUUCAUCAUCAGCAUCCUCUGCACACCCAUCACUACUACAAAAAUGUAAAACAAUGACACAUACAUUAUGACGGUUUAUUUAAAAAACCGUCAUUAAAAAUAUUUAAUGACGGUUAUUAUAUGAACGGUCAUAAUAUGUACUAUUUAUAAUGACGGUUCUAUUAUAAAACCGUCAUUAAAUAUUAUGCCAAACUAUAAUUUUAUUUUUAAUGACGGUUACUUGUAAAAACAGUCAUUAUAAAUUUUAAAUUUUUAAUGACGGUUCUAUUAUAUAACCGUCAUUAAAUAUCAAGUUAUUAUUUUUAAUGACAGUUUAUAAAAAUAAACCGUCAUUAAAAAUCUUUACAUAUUAAAUUAUUAUUUUUUAUGACGGUUCUACUAUAUAACUGUCAUUAAAUAUAAAGUCAUUAUUUUUAAUGACGGUUUUUUUUAAAAAACCGUCAUUAAAAAUCACUAAUGACGGUUACAUAUAUAAACUGUCAUUAACUAUAAAAUGUUAUUUUUAAUGACGGUUUUGUUUAAAAACCGUCAUUAAAAAGCCACAAUAUUUUUAAUGACGGUGUUUAAUAACCGUCAUCGAAUAGAAAGAAUCAUUUUUAAUACAUUUCAUGACCGUUUUAUAAUAACCGUCGUUAUAUGUUAUUUGCCUUAAAAAUUUUUUAAAAAAAAGCCGAUAAAAGGAAUAAAGGAAACGCGCAAUCCCUAACCACUCACAUUCGUUGUCUUCUUCUUCAAUUUUCACGAAUUACAAUCACAACGACUCACUCAGUCACACACACCAGCCCUAACCCUACCAAAGCUAUCAAACGCCAAUGCCGCUGCCGCUGUCAAAUCGAUUCAAGUGCUCCGGCGCUGAGUCUAGCCGUCCUUGAGCCGAUUUGCUUCCUUUUUCUGCCGCCGCUGUCAAUCUCUGCCAUUUUUGAGCCGAUUCACUUCCGCAAAACAGCUGCUGUCAUCUCUGCCGACAUUGCCUCUGUGUUCGUUCACCGUCAGAUGCAGUGUUAUUGUGGUGACACUGCCUCCGCUAUCAAGUCAGUUCAAAUUUUCUGGGUGCUAUCUCGAAAAUGUUGGUGAGAUUGUUGCCAAUGAUAUUCUAAAAUUUUGAAUUCAGGGUUAUUGUUUCACCACUGUGAGUUGCUUUCUCCAAUUUUGCAAUUCUUUCCUCUUAAUUUGCUUUGAAAUAUUUGCUCGUUGGAUUUAUUUCCUCUUCAUUUAUAAUCGAUUUGGUGAUUUUGUGUUGUGUAGCUUGUACCUUAGUCUCUCCUUUUCCUUUCAUAAUAUUAUAAAAUAUGUCGUGCACUUUGGCCUUUCGUUUCUUGAUUUUCUUGGUUAAUGAAUUUGGAAAAAGAGUGAAUUAUGGGUAAGGGGAUAGAAAAUCACAUUGACAGAAAAGAGGACUGAAACGCCUUGAUUUUUACUAAGUGGAGUUUACUUAUUUGUUAAAAAAAUAAAUUUUAAAUUAUUAAUGAUUUAAUUGUCUUAUGCUUAUUAUAUUGUUCGUAAAAUUUUUGUUACAAGUCCAGCCCAUGAACCUCUUUAUGUUUUAGCAUUUCUUUAUUUAUUUACGAAACGAAAACCAGCGUUCGAAUUCAAAAGGAACAAAACAGAAAAAGGAAGAAAGGAAACAAGAGGAUAACAGGACGUGAGAGAGGAGAAGAGGGAGAAAGAAGAGAAAGACAAGAGAGGCUAGGUGAAGGAUUUGGAUUUAAAGAGAGAGAAUUCAAUUUCAGAGGAAAAUAUUAAAUAUCUGGCUUUUUAAAUUUGUAAGCCUUAUUCAAUUUCAGAGCAAAAUAUUAAAUAUCUGGCUUUUUAAAUUUGUAAGCCUUCUUUCUCAGUUCACUUUAUUCUUUUAUUUUUCUUCAAAAUUCUUGUUUAAAUUGGCAUGCUUGUUGAUGUUGUUAAGUCAUUUCUAAAUUAACUUGCAUAAAGUCGCAAACGCAAAAGAGUUAACGUCUCUGACACGGUAUGUAUUCUUCCUUUUCUUCGUCAGUAUUUGGUUAGUGAAACUAUGGAAAGAAAUUUUGAGAGAAAAAAUUUCCACUUUUCUAACUACAUUUAUUAUUAUAUUGCUGCUGUAGAUCGGAAGGGGUAAUCUUUUUACAGAUAUGCGGUAUUACUGGCCAGGUCUCACUAAGACGGAUUUAAACCUUUGGGAAGAUCAGUGGUUCGCCCACGGUAGCGAUUCUCCAUUAGUCCCCCUUGAUUAUUUUCAGAGGACUAUCCAACUGAGGAAGCUUGUGGAUCUUGUCAAAGCACUGGGAGAUGUAGGCAUAGUGCCCAGGUAUAAGGGAUUUACUCAUCACAAAUCAACUUACAGACAAGGGAUAAUGAAAAUAACCGGUCAUAACAAUACCAUACUAAAGUGCUAUUCUUCUAAACGUGGUCAUCUAUUAUCGGAAGUGAUGUUAUGCGCCGAUGCUGACGCAAGAAAUUUCAUUGAUUGCAAUCCUGAAGAGUUCCAACAACAAAACUGUGGGCCGCUGCUGUACCGUACAUCCGCCUUGGCCGUACAGCAGUAAGGAUUCAGUUUCUGAAGGGCAAGCUUGCUGGCUGGGUAUAAAUGUUCCAAGUGCCAAUCCCACCUUAUGUAAGCACAAAAUAUAGUCUCCAUUUCCUUUUUGGAUUAUAUUUGUUUGUAUAGUUAUAUGAUACUGGAUUUUAAUUUAAGAAUUUGUGCAGUACAUUUUUUUACUGUUAGGAGUUAGUUUGAUCAAGGUUAUUUAAGUACUAAACUGUUAUAAUUGAGCUUGUAUGCAUUUAAGUUCUUUAUAUGUAAAUGACAAUUAUAUCAAUGUGUAAUGUAAAUUGAAAUUUGCCAAUGUGGCUUCAAUUGUACAGUUUAGAAUGUGAAAAUAACUAUCUAAAUUUUAAUUUAAAAAAACAAUUGAAGUAUAG
rnacentral:lncRNA from 1 species